rnacentral:lncRNA from 1 species
GAGCCUCUUGACGGAGGGAAAGAUUCGCCAAGAGCUCCAGUUUCGAUGGCAGUGGAAACCUUGAUUUGGUUUCCAAGGCCGGCUGCGUUGAUGGCGUUUUGUAUGUUUCUCAUGGCGGGAACAAGGUACUGAGCGAAGUUAUCUCCAGGUUUUGCUUCAUUUCCUACAGCAAUGUAUUUGAACUUGACAUUGUUAGCAAAAUUUCGGACGUUGUUUUGGACCCAAGUGUUUGCUUCGGCUUGAUUGGAAGCGAUUCUUCGGAGGUCGUUGUUGGGAAGGCCCAACAUGACUUCAAUGUUGGAGCCUCUGAGAGCUUCGAGUGCUUCUCUGUUUGGAUCAUAUAGUCUCAUUCUUCUGAUGUUGUUUUGGUUGUAGAGAGCUAUGACAUCUCGUUUUGAUGGUAAGUUGUUACCAAGCAUUCCAUAGCAAACACCUAUUUGGGCACCUGUAAAAUGCAAUAUAUAGAUAAUGAACAAAUUAAGAACUUAUAAUAGUAGUUAAUGAAUAAUAUUAAUCCAUGGAUAGAGAGAAGGAUAGGGAAAACGAUCAAAUGGUUACGUUGGGUCUCGGUAAAGUAAUCAUUUCGCACCGUAUAUUUCAAAAAUUCUGUCUUUAAAAAAAAAAAAAUGUUAAAUUCUAACUUGUUUUAUGCUUUUAAUAUUUUUUUUCCCUUGAUGUGGUAAACACUAAUUAAAACUCAAUGUUUAUAAAAAAAAGUUGUAAUAGGUCAAGUAUUAUUAAAACACAAUAGGUAUAAAAAAAAAAAAGUAUUAUUAAAACACAGAAAAUUGAAUGAUAACGUACGGGUUUGUUUUGAUGGAUUAAAAGAAAAAAAAGUAGGAAAUGGAUAAAGUGCAAAAUCAGUUUUUAGUCACUAUCACUUCCAUAUUCGAUCAUCGAGGAUCAGCUAAAACAUUGCUUAAAAACUACUUGGUCAAGCUCUUGAAAGCGAAUUUGAUAGAUUUUGAAACAUUAAAAGAAAUUAAAUUUUUUAUGAACAACAAAGAGGUUUUGAUCAUUUUCUCGAGAAAUUAAGAUAUAUACUUGUUGUAUCUAAGGUAGCCAUUAGCAGCCCAAGAAGAAACAAGACGACUGGAGCCAUUGAAGGGGUAUUGAGAGAGGAAAAGAACUUAGCCAUAGAGAUAAACGAAAUUGCAAAGUGUGUUAUACUAACACCAAUUCUUGCCAGCCCAUUUAUAGAGGAAAAUCACCAUGACCAUGAACCAUAGUGGAAGAAAAAAAAAUAAAAAAUUUUACACUGAUAAUAAUGACAACCUGAAUGGUCGAAACAAAUUAAUCUAACAACUUGCUGGGUUCUUUGAAAAGUCCUGAGGUUAAUAAUUUUCUUGAGCAUGCAUGUCACUAUCUUUUGACUCGUUGGCAGUGCCCUACUGCAACUUCCUCCAUAUUUGUGGUGUUCAUAUUCGUAGACGUUCAAUUACUCAACAACUUGGUUCUUUUUUAAUAUGGUGUUAGAAAAUGGAACAAGUCUCCUUUCUUAUUUGUAUUGUCGACGACUCAACGUGAUCAUGCAUCGAUAUCCAAUUACUUUAUUUUAAUUUAUAUUGUAUUUGUAUGAUUGAUAAUUUAAAAAAUACACCGACACAUGUAAAAACUUGUAACUAAAAGAUUGAUAUACUCAAUUACAAAAUAUGUAGACGUCCUCAUUUUGGAGCUGCUUGGUAGCUUUAAUAUUAAUUUGUUGUCUACUUAGGUUGCCAUUCUUGACUAGAGCUGGAACCUUCUAGCAUCAAGUCAAGCUAGCACAUCUUGGCUUGUGCAUUUAAUCUCUUUGUCCCAGAAUUUGAGUGGUCCGUGACAUUGAGCCCUAACCCACCUUUUUAGUUUAAGAUCAUGUAUACCGGUCGAAAGUGCAGUAAAAAAUAAUUUGCUAUUCGAUAUAAUUUAUCUAGUACAUAUACUUAAAAAAAAAAAUGCAUGCCUCAUUGCCUACGCAUGCUGAUGCUGCCUUGUAAUAUAACUUGUUGAGAAGGACGUUGAUCAACACAUCGAUCGUCAUGGCUUCUACAGUUUGAAUUUGUUUUUUUAAUUUAAACCUAACAGCAAUUCAAUUCUCUUUCCACUCAUCUGAACAUGGAUUCAAACCUUAUACUACUUGCUUCAACAGAUGAUUGAUAUGGUACAUUUAUUGGUGUUCACAUGAUUAAUUAAUGUAUCAAAAUGUAAUAAUAAAAAAAAUUAAAUUUCUCAACUUACUCUAUGAUCAUGAUGACAUGCUAAUUCCUCUCUCGAUGGGAGUGUUGCAAAUUUUGGAAAUAGAUUAGCAGAGGAUCAACAUUUAUUUUUCAUAAUUUAGUUUUUACAUAUUAUCAUACUUUUCAUUGAGAAAUAUCCGGGAUAUAUAAAAUAGACCAAAAUCAAUUAGAGUCAUAAAAGAUAGAAGUCAUUUAAGUCUUUAUUAUCAGCUGUAACAAAUAAUGAUGCCAAACUGCCACUUUCAUUGUAUUUGUCUGUUUUUCCAGAAACGUGCUCAAUUGGGGCAGCUGAAUCCCAAAUUCCGAAUUGAGUGCUAACUCGAUUGAGUGCUACUCUGCUAUCUUGUUAUGUGGAAAAUAGAACGCUCAAAUUUGUUGGUAUCAUCAAUUCAUUAUCUCAUUCUGUGGAUGUGUUAAUGUCAAAGUCAAGCGAUAACUAAAUUUCACUCAGACAGCUGGCUGCUUGACUAUGGUUUAUAGAGUUUAGACUAGGUGAUCACAACCGCAAAUCAUGCUAUUAAAUAAUAGUCAACAAGACUUGAGUAAUAACGGGGUUGAGUUACAAUUAGAUAUAUGUCUCUGUCGUCUGUAUUAACAAAUUUAAUAUUUCUAUACUGUCGAGACUCCGUUUGUUUGGUGGAGGUAAUAAUAAUAUAAUAUAAAUAUGAUUUUUAAAUAAAAAUUAUAAAUAUUACAUGUUUAUAAUCAAAUGAUAAAAUACGCCCUUAGAGUAUUAAGAUGGGUUUAAUAAAAAAAAAUUUAGAAUAUAAUUGAAAUUAAGGUCAAAAUGGUAAGUGGCUAAGUAAUGGGUUUUAUAAGAUUUUUGGAAGGGAUGCUAAUAGCUCCAUCAUUGAUCUUAAUUUUCCCAAACCGAACCCGACAUGCUUAUCCCCACCAACAUCAGUACCAGAGGGAGCCUAAAACACAAAAGAAAGAAGGAAAUGACCACUUGACAAGUCUGCCCCAAAGGUUAUGAACUAGUGAACUACAAGAACUUGGACAAAUAUUUUUGAAUUACGCCACCUAUGUACAAUGCCUAAAUGAUUACAAUUUUUUGGGGACGAUAAAUAUGGACCCUAAGCAGCCUAACAGUUAAAGACAAUCAAGGCAAUGGAAAAGCCCAUUAGAAGAGCAUGAAGAACUAGUACAAAUCUCUCACCCUAAGCACUCAGCAGAGUAAUUUUGAGUCCCAAUGAAGAGCAUCAACAACACCGAGUUUCGUUUGGUUCUAAGGGAUAUGCUUGGUAUGGCCAAAUCUCCAGAAACCAUUUAUGUGCAGGUCAAAUUCUCCGAUUGUUGGCAUAACACCACUUUCAAGUCCUCUUCUAUUUGUAUUGACCCGAUAUUUGCAUUGACCUGACCCAGCUGGAUCAUCUCGGAAUACUUUAUAUAGUCAAUGCCUUUCGAGCAAAUUUUUCCUCAAGAUCAUGAUUAUCUUGUUAAGAACCUCAGUAGUUUCAAUCAAAUACUGUUCAGCUUGAUGUCUAUCAUUGAAAACCUCCCGUUUCAUUGUGUUCUUCCUUCUGAAUGAUUCCACGUUCGCAUGCCGAUUCGAAAAUUUAGGGUACACAGUAGAAGCCUUUGCCAAACUCUAUCGCCAGGUCGGCUUUCUUCAUUGCGGGUGCCAACUUAUCUUUCACCACUUGGACGCUAAUUACCUUGAGCCCGGUUAUCUGAAGAACAAGGAAAAUAUAUAUAUAUAUAUAUAUGAACCUCAAUGACUCCGGAGAAGAUUACAUAAACCAAUGAGAAUUAAAACUAAAGAAAGGUCGUAAUAAAAGUUAUUAAAUAAAUAGAAGGGUGAGAAAAAGAAUGAGGACAGCAGAAUAGAAUUUAGAAGGGGGGCGGGGGGGAGAUCAUCCAUAUCAAUACAUGCACAUAAAAAUGUAAAAUAGAAUAGUAUAUGCAAAUACAUAUUCAUAUUAAAUCCCAAAUUUAAAUGAGAUGUAAUUAAGUCCUAAUUUAAGACUAAGCUGCAACAAAGAGUUCAACCAUCACAUUCUACAAAUAUGUCAAAACUAAUAACCUGAAUAAGACAACAUUGUUUUUCAGGACAUGGCAGAUAUUAUGCAAAAAACAUAAGAAACAACAUUGAGUUCUUGUAGAUCUUCCUUGGAAAAUAACCACUAUUUCCCAAGCAUGAAUAAAAAAGACACCGCUGAUGGUGCAUAUUGCAUUUUGAAAUACAAGCUAAUGCUAUAGUUAAGGACGCUUCUGUACCGUCCUUUCUAAAGAAAUAAUAUGCAAGACAAUUGCAAAAGAAAUAUGUUAUUGCACACAGGUAUCAACUAGGAAAGGACAUAAUUACGUCAGUUUAGGAACCUUCUAUUAAAAUGAUUAAAUUAUGGGAUAUUGUGACCGUUUGAGAGCUUGUCAAGGAGUCCUUUACAUAAGUAACUUUGAUGAGAUGAUUUUGCUGAUUGAAGAUAUGAUUUAUAAUUUGUUGGAUGAUCUUUUGGCAUUAACGAGUGAUAAUCUAUUGGCUGAUCUUUUGGCAUUAACGAAGGAAUCUUAUCAACCCCCCUCAAGUUUGGAAUGCCCAUGGGAUGGACUCCUAACUUGUUGCGGCAGUUUUGGAAUUGGUAUUUGCUUAAUGAUUUUGUGAACACACCGCAAUUUGCCGUGAUGAAGGUACAUGCCUUGUGAAGAUGGAUCCUUGCGCGACCUUUUCUCGAACAAAGUGGAAGUCGAGCUCGAUAUGCUUUGUCCUCGCGUGAAAGACCGGAUUUUUGGUCACGUAGAGAGCACUCAUAUUGUCGCACAAUAGAAGUGUUUUCUUGUUCAUUGUGAGACCAAUUUUGCGAAGAAGAAAUUGAAUCCAUGUGAUCUCAACUGCAGUGGUGGCCAUUGAUCGAUAUUCUGCUUCGGCACUUGAUCUUUCUACGGUGGUUUGCUUCUUUGAGCUCCAAGAAAUGCAGUUUGCUCCUAAGUAGACACAAUAACCUGUGGUGCUUCGUCUAGUCUCAGGACAACCUGCCCAAUCAGAGUCAGAAAAGGAGUAUAGUGUUAAUGAACUUUGAGACAAAAAACGAAUGCCAUAGUUUAAUGAUCCUUUGAGAUAUCGAAGGAUCCUUUUUACUGCUUUGAGAUCUGCCUUGGUUGGAUCAUUGAAGUGCUGGCAUACUUUAUUUACAGCGUAUGUUAUAUCCGGCCUUGUAAAGGUCAAAUAUUGUAAGCCACCAACUAGGCCUCGAUAUUCUGUAGCAUUCACAGGUUCACUGUCCUUAAGAUUUGUAGUUGUUUUUAUAGCCAUGGGUGUUGCCAUAGGAGUACAAUCAAGCAUCUUUGCCUUUGAUAGUAAAUCUUGUGUAUACUUAGUUUGAGAUAAAAAUACCCCAUUUUGGAAAUAUUUGAUUUCUAUCCCAAGAAAAUACCGAAGUGUCCCAAGGUCUUUCAGUGCAAGAUUGUACUUAAUGUUAAGAUGAUCGAUUGAAUAACAGGAGUUAUUUCCUGUUAUUAUAACAUCAUCUACAUAUAUCAAAAGCAAAAUGAGUACUCCCUUGUCCUGUAAAAUAAAUAAAGAUGAAUCAGAUUUACUAUUAACAAAGCCUAGUUUAAAUAAUGCUUUAAAAAUAUAUUCAAACCAGGUGCGUGGAGCUUACUUGAGCCCAUAAAUGGACUUGUUUAGUUUACAGACAAAUGAUGAUAGAUUAGGAUUUUUGAAACCCGGGGGCUGCUCCAUGUACACUGUUUCUUUUAAUUUGCCAUGAAGAAAAGCAUUCUUGACGUCUAAUUUCUUCAUUGGCCAUUUUGAACUCACUGCAAUUGCCAUAACCAGUCGAAUAGUGGUUGGUUUUAUGACAGGACUAAAGGUCUCAUCAAAGUCCACUCCUGAGAUUUGUGUGAAUCCCUUGGCAACGAGACGUGCCUUGUACCUAUCAAUCGUCCUAUCUUCUUUGUAUUUGAUCCGGUAAACCCAUUUUGAUCCUAUUACAAUAUUGUGAAUAGGACGAAGAACAAGAUGCCAAGUAUUAUUGUCAUGCAGAGCCUUAAUUUCUUCUUCCAUUGCCGUAACCCAUAUGGGAUUCUUGAGAGCCGAUUUUAAAGUUUUUGGCUCAAUUGGUUGGUUUUGAGAGGCUUGUAAUGCUAGGUUAUGAUUGUUGUUGGCUUUUUGUCGGCUUAUCAUGGAAUGAGUAUUUUGAGAUGAUGAUAGAUUUGUUUGUAAUUGUUGUGGUCUCGUGAGAUCAACGACUGGAUUACCUGAUAUGUCAGAUAAGGUGGUUGGUUGAUUUUUAGUGUAACUCGAAAAAUCAACUAAUAACUUUCCAGAGAUAUCAGAAUAAUUUUUUUGAUUUGUUGAAAAUGGAUCCUCGGUCUGGGUUCUAUCUGAGCUGGUCAAGUCAGUUGAUAAGGAGUUCUCGGUUUGAAUUUUAUCUGAGUUGGUUACUUUGGUAGAUGAAGUGGCAGUGUUGUUGCAGUUUUGCUCUUCUGAAAUUGAUUCAUUUAAUGAGGCAGUCAAGUUGUUGGCGCUUUGAUCUUCUGCAACAAUAGUAUCUUUCUGCUUUUCCUGUAAUGUAGCUAGUGUGCGAAUAACAUGGCUGUCAUAGUUGGACAAAGGAGUUUGCAUUUGAGUGGGCGUCAUGUGGUCUUCUUGAAAAGAUGGAAGUGGCUUUUGACUAAGGGCAAGAUUCAUAAAAUCAUGGGUUUUGUAAUGCUGAAUGAUCUAUGGAGAACGUUGCAAGGCUUCACAGUUAUAGACCUGGAGAAUGACUUCUUCCUGGUUAGAUUCAAGUCUGAGAUUGAUGCACAGUAUGCUCUCACACAAGGGCCUUGGACCAUUCUUGGCCAUUAUCUCACCGUACAACAGUGGACACCUCAUUUUGAUAGUUCUGAUGUCAAUAUUGAAAACAUUGUGGCUUGGAUUCGCAUACCGGGUAUGCCUCUACACUAUUACCAUAAAAGGAUCCUUCGCAUGAUUGGAAACGUCGUGGGAAAAGUGAUUAAAAUUGACUACAACACCGAGUCAGCAAGGAGGGGAAAGUUUGCUCGCAUUGCAGUGGAAAUUUCAUUAAAGAAGCCUCUCUGCUCACAAUUUUUUCUGGAUGGGAAGUUGCAAAAUAUUGAGUAUGAGAAUCUGCCUAUUAUUUGCUUUAAUUGUGGAAUUUACGGGCAUAAGAAUGAUGAUUGCCCACAGUCAAACACAUUGAAAAAUCCGACGGAGAGUUGUGAGAAUAAUGUUGCGGAGGAUAAUCCCGGUGGUGGGGAGGAAAAGUCAUCAUCUUCUGAAGUUCCGGUUAAUCCUAGUUUUGGUCCUUGGAUGAUCGUCAGCCGGAAAGGGAGGGGAAGAGUCAGCAAGGAAGGCGGCUACACAAAACAUUUCAACCGUUUCCGAGACGGCAAAAGUGAAGGGGGCUCUCGUUUCGAAGUUCUCGAGAAGGAGGAAACUGAAGAAAGAGAAAUUGCUCUCCCUCGAAACCAUAAUGUUUCCACAACCGAAAAUGAACAGCCAGUUACCCACUUUAAAUAUAAAACCAAAAGCAAUCCUAAAACCAACUCCACCAUGCAAAAACCAAGUGUCAACAAUGCCAAGCCCCAAUAUUUGAAUAUUGAACACUCUUUGUCCCCACCAGCUCCCAUGCAUGCAAGAGCACUACCACGUACCCUUUCAACUAACCAUGGACCCUCAACCGAUUUACCAGUUCCCACCACAGUCCCUACUAGCUUGGAUCCCGCAAAGCACACAGCCAUUAAAUUUAUUCCCCCAAGAGUUGAACCUUCAUCUCUAAAUGCAAUUAUUGAUACAUCUCAAUCCAAUUUGAGGCUUGCUGUCCCCACCAUCUAUUUCGGAGACCAUGACAAACCCCCUGAUGAUAAUUUGGCUAUGGACGAUAAUGAAGAGAAUAACCCGGAUGAUGGAAACUCAAUGGAUGAUGAUAGUGAGUAUGAUUCCGCUUCUGUUGAUAGCAGGGCCUCUUUGGAGGAGAAAGAUAACAUGGAAUGUUAAUGAUGUCUCGUAUGGCCAAUCCUUUGUCUUUUUUUUCCUUAAUGAUGAAUUUAUCUAUCCUUUUUUGGAACUGUCAAGGGGUAUCUUCAUCGGGUUUUAAAAGAACUUUUAAAACCAUGAGCAAGAUUUACAAACCUGAUAUUGUUGCUAUUUUGGAGCCUAAAGUCAGUGGGGCUAAAGCUGAUUAUUUUAUUAAAGGAAGUGGCUUUGAAUUCUCACAUAGAGUGGAGGCUGAGGGCUUUGCUGGGGGUAUUUGGAUAUUAUGGAAUAGAGGUUUCGCAAUGGAGUUUGUCGUUAACCACAAACAGUACAUUCAUUUUAAAGUUACAGACUUUUCUGGUAAUUGGUCAUGGGUCACUGCAGUAUAUGCCAGCCCCAAUCCCAGCCUUCAAAGGAAAUUUUGGAACGAGCUAGAGUCAAUAGCUAAAUCGAUAGAGGGACCUUGGAUGUUGGGUGGCGAUUUCAACUCAAUUCUUUAUGCUUCAGAGAAAAAAGGUGGCUCACCAAAAAGCAGUGGUAUUUGUAGAUCUUUCAAUAACUGGUUUCAUGACAAUCGCCUUAUAGAUUUGCAUUUUAAAGGGCCUUGCUUCACUUGGUCUAGAGGAACCCUAUUUAAAAGACUUGAUUGUGCCAUUUGUAAUGAUCAUUGGAAUAGUUUGUUCACAGAAGCUUCGGUCUUACAUCUCCCAAAAAUUCACUCUGAUCACCGUCCAAUUCUUGUCAGCUUCGACUCAAAUUUGAAUAGGAGGAAUGGUGUAAAACCAUUUCGUUUUUUAGCAGCAUGGCUAAUGGACCAUUCUUUUAUUUCUCUUGUUGCUAAAGAAUGGAGGGAUUCUGAGGGGUAUUUUCAAGCUGCUCAUGAGUUUGUGGAUAAAGUCAGCAAGUGGAAUAGAGAUAAUUUUGGGAAUAUUUUUAAAAGAAAAAGUAGAAUUCUUGCAAGAUUGAAUGGCAUUCAGAGAGCCCUGGAGUGGUUUGAUUCAAAAAGGCUUCUUCAACUAGAAUCCAAAUUGAAGACGGAACUUGAAAAUAUUUUAUCCCAAGAGGAAUUAUUAUGGUACCAAAAGUCAAGGCGUGAAUGGAUUGCUUGCGGGGAUAGAAACACAGCCUAUUUCCACAGUAAAACAAUUGCUAGAAGAAGAAGGAAUCGAGUGGAUGCUAUUCAAAAUAGCGAGGGCAAGUGGAUUUAUGACAAGGAAGAAAUUAAAACUCACGCCAUUGAUUUUUUCUCUAGACUUUUCAACUGUCAAGAUGAAGAGGUUCGAUUUUACUCCAUUGCAAAUGCCUUUCCAAAGAUUGAGGAAGACAGAAUAGCCGAUAUCUGCAGAACUGUUCAGAGAGAGGAAAUAAAAGCUACUAUUUUCGGAAUGAAACCAUUAAAGGCUCCAGGAAUUGAUGGACUCCAUGCUCUCUUUUAUCAGACACAAUGGAAUGUGGUUGGUGCUUCAGUUUGCGAUCUUGUGAGUAAUAUUUUUAAAGGCAAUCCCCUUCCCCUAGAACUGAACAGGACCCUUAUUGUCCUUAUCCCAAAAACCAAUAACCCCACCAACAUGAAAUUGUUUCGUCCUAUCAGCCUUUGUCCGGUUCUGUACAAAACAGUCACAAAAAUUUUGGCAAACCGGCUAAAGGAGAUUUUACCUGACUUGAUUGGUCCAACUCAAACUAGUUUCGUCCCCGGAAGGCAUAUCACAGAAAAUAUUGUCAUGGCGCAAGAAAUCAUCCACACAAUGAAAAAUAAAAGGGGUAAAGUUGGGCAGAUGGCUAUCAAAGUAGAUCUUGAGAAGGCUUAUGACAGGCUCCGAUGGGAUUUUAUUCAUGAUACUCUUAAAGAUGUUGGGUUGCCUCGGGAGUUUAUUCGAAUUACAAUGGAAUGCAUCACCACAGCUAGAAUGCAAAUCUUAUGGGAAGGGGAGCUCACUGAAGAAUUCACUCCUUCCAGAGGCAUCCGACAGGGAGACCCUCUUUCUCCUUACAUUUUUGUUCUUUGUAUUGAACGUCUUAGUCACGGAAUUAAUCAAGCAGUAUCUGACGGAAGAUGGUGCCCUAUACGUCUUUCACAUAAUGGUGUCCCUCUAACACAUCUCUUUUUUGCAGACGAUUUGCUCCUUAUGGCUGAGGCUUCUUGUAAUCAAGCCCAAGUUAUAAAUAAUGUACUUGACAAUUUCUGCAGCUGCUCAGGGGAGAUGGUUAGUAAACAGAAGACCCGUAUGUUUUUCUCCAAGAAUGUUGAAAAGGCUAUGGCAAGGAAAAUAAGCGAGUCUUUAGGUUUCUCUGCUACGGACAAUCUUGGCAAAUAUCUCGGAAUGCCGCUGCUUCAUAACAGAGUUACCAAAGCUACUUAUCAGGAGAUUGUGGACAAUGUUGAUAAAAAGCUGUCAGGGUGGAACUCAAUGCAUCUCUCUUUAGCUGGAAGAAUUACUCUUGCUCAAUCAGUUAUUCAAGCGGUUCCUAUUUUUGCCAUGCAAACGACAAGGAUUCCUCAGGGAGUGUUAGAUAAAAUUGAUCGGAUUUCUCGGAGAUUCAUUUGGGGAGGAAAUAAUGAAGACCGAAAAAUCAAUCUGCUUAAUUGGGAAAUGGUUUGUACACCGAAAUCUGGAGGUGGUCUUGGCUUGAAGAAUCUUUCUGAUAUGAAUAAUGCUCUGCUUAUGAAAAUUGGAUGGAAUAUGUUGGUUUCUCCUCACAGUUUAUGGGUUAAGAUUCUGAGAUCUAAAUAUGGGCUUAUCUCAGACUCUAUACCUAUAGCUAUUGACAAUAAGUGCAGUUCUUAUCUUUGGAAAAGCAUAAGCAGAAUCUGGGAUUAUGUGUUACGGGGCAUGAGAUGGACGAUUGGAGAUGGAAAUAAAAUUAACUUUUGGCAUCAGCAUUGGGUUUCAGAAGAAAUAAUUAUUGCAGAUUAUAUUACAAAGCCAAUUCCAACUGAGUUAAUAAAUAAACGAGUGGCUGAUUUUGUAAAUGCCGAGGGGCAAUGGAACUGGAACAUGAUUAGUACUUUUAUCCCCAAUCAAAUUCUUCUCCAAAUUGCAGCGGUCAAGCCCCCGUCUGAUGGCAAAUGCGAAGAUCUCCUAUAUUGGGCUCACUCAAAAACGGGCAGGUUCACAUCUAAAUCAGGUUACCUUUUUCUGAAUAAUUCCAAUUGCAGCAAAGAUGCUCAUUUCUGGAAAUUAAUUUGGCAAUGGAAAGGGUCCCAACGAGUUAAAAUUUUUUUAUGGUUGGUGAUGCAUGGAAAAAUUAAAACUAGAGAGGAGCUUUUUAAGAGGCAUAUUCUGGAUAAAAUGAAUUGUGAAAGAUGUGGCCAUGAGAGAGAAAACGUGAUGCAUGCACUUAGGGACUGUUUUGUUGCAAAGAGAAUAUGGAAUUGUUUAAUUCCAGUCAACUUUAGACAUCAUUUUUUCUCCUUUAAUCUUCGUGAUUGGCUCUGUUUCAACUUGGGAAAGACUGGUAUCAAUAAAGUGGGGAUGAAUGGGCAUGUUUAUUUGGAGUGGCUAUCUGGAAAAUUUGGUUUUGGCAUAAUCAAUUUCUUUUCUCACAAAAAUCCCCUUGCUGCACCCAUGUUGUUGCUGAAAUUAAAUCUUGGGCUCAAGACAUUCAAAAUGCACGAUCAACUCUUAGUUUCGGUCAGAGUAAUAUGAUCAUCAAAGAUGUUAGAUGGCAAGCUCCCCCUGAAUCUUUUUUCAAAUUAAAUACUGAUGGAUCACGAUUAAAGAAUGGUCUAGCCAGCGCUGGGGGCUUGGUGAGGGAUUGCUCUGGAAAGUGGCAGUUUGGCUUUGGCAUGAACAUUGGAUUUGGAUCGGUGACUACUGCAGAACUUUGGGGUCUUUUUCAAGGACUUAAUAUUGCUUGGGACCGUGGCAUUCGUUAUUUAAUUGCAGAGGUGGAUAGCCAAUGUGUUUCCCAACUUAUUUCCUCUACUAGCUUGAUGCCUAAUGCACAUUUUUCUCUCAUAACUGCCAUAAAGGAACUGAUGAAUAGACAAUGGCUCAUUACCAUAAAGCAUAUAUAUCGGGAAGCCAAUUUUGCUGCAGAUUCCAUGGCGAAACUUACUGGUUCCUUACCCCUUGGACUUCAUGUCUUUGAAAAUCCCCCGAGGGUCUUGGUUAUUGGUUAUGUAAUGAUAUAUAUGGGACCUCUAUUUCCCGUUCUGUUUUAGCCUAGUUUUACUAGGCUCCAAUGUAUAAAAAAAAAAAAAAUCAUGGGUUUUAAUUGAGUUAGGACAAUUUAGCCAUUCAUUAUAAAAUGGAAACGUUGUAAGUUGACUUGGUUCCUGCAUGCAUUCAACAAACUUAUUUUUGUUAGAAAACGGAAAAAUCGUUUCAUAAAAAAUGACAUGCCGAGAAAUAUAGACUCUUUUAGUCAUGGGAUUUAAGCAUCUAUAUCCUUUAUGUAAGGAACUAUAACCUAUAAAAAUACAUGGGAAAGUUUUUCCAUCAAAUUUUGUCUUGUUAUAGUUCCUUAAAUAAGGAUCAAAUUUUGUCUUGUUAUAGUUCCUUAAAUAAGGAAAACAUUUGCACCCAAUAACUUUAAUUCCAACAUAAUCAGGAGUCCUUUUAAAGAGUUUUUCAUAUGGACAUUUCAUUUCAAGUGUAGACAACGGCAUCCUAUUUAUCAAAUAAGUUGCGGCUACAAAAAUAUCUGCCCAAAGUUUGAGAGGAAGUGAGGCAUAGAACAUGAGAGUUAAGGCUGUUUCGGCAAUAUGCCUAUGUUUUCUCUCAGCAACUCCAUUCUGCUCUAGAGUAUAUGGGCAUGAUAUUUGUCAUAUGAUGCCUCAAUCAUCAAGAUGCUUUAUAAAAGCAUUAGAAGAAAAUUCUCCCCCUUCAUCACAUUAAAACACUUUAAUCUUUCUUUCAAAUUGUGUUUCCACCUGUUUCUGAAAUCGUAUGAAACAAUCAAAGAAGUUAGCUUUUCGUUGUAGUGGAAAUAGCCAGGAAAAUCUUGUAUGGUCAUCUAUAAAUAAUGCAUAAAAUCAAAAAUUUUGAUUAGAGUUAAUUGGAGCUGGACCCCAUAAAUCACAGUGUAUCUUAUGCAAAGGAACAACCGAGAUUUUAUUAGAAAUAGAAAAAGGAAUUUUAAAACUCUUUCCUAAUUGACAAGAUACACAAAUUUUGGGUAUUUUUGUCCAUUUGAAAAUAUUGAUUUUCCUAUUAUUAUAGAGAAUUUGUGGGACUUUAAUACUUGGAUGCCCAAGUCUCAUAUGCCACAAAUUUGAUUCUGCAGUAUUCCCUCUUAUUGCGCUUAGAGCUACUUUAUUUACUUCAUCCAGUGCAUAUAGGUUGCCUUUCUUAUGCCUCAUUGCUACCACUUGGUUUUGUUUGUUCUUGACAAAAAAAAACCAUCAUAAUUAAACACAAAAGAACAUUGAGAAUCAUUAGCAAGUUGUCCAACUGACAGGAGAUUUUUUUUUUUUUUUUUUGGAACCACAAGAACGUUUUUCAAAUGUAAAUCUCCAUAAUCAGUUUUUAAAGAGGUAUUACCAAUAUGAGAUAUUUGAAGACCUUGUCCAUUCUCUAUAAAGAUUUUAUUAUGGCCUUUGUAAGGAACGAUUGUCUUUAAUUUUCCUGGAUUGUUGAUUAUGUGAAAGGUUGCUCAUGAGUCAGCGUAAAUUUGAUCGUCAGUUUGGUUCGAGUUGACAGUCGCAAGGGCUUGUGGAACCUCAUCCUUAUAAUAUUUAUACAUGUCCCAACAAACAGCGGCUGAGUGACCUUUCUUACCACAGAUUUGACAAUAAAUCACAUUUUGCUGAUUUGUUUUGUUGGUUUCAAUAUUAUUUUUUGUCGUGGUUGAUGCUGCUGGUUGCUUUGAGCAUUUUUCGAUCCAUUAUUUUGUUGUGAACCUCUGCUGUGACCUCCAUGUCCGCCUCCCCUUUGAUUUCAGCCUCUCCCUCUUUGUCUAAAAAAGGCUUGAUUAUGAUCCAGAAUGGAUUUUUCUUCCUCCUUGUGAACAACAACAGUUUGCUCGUGUUUAUGAAGAGCAAGGAUGAAUUGCUUAAAGGUGGGCAGUAGUGGUUUAGCAAGCAUUGCCGUUUUGAAAUCGGCAUAUUUUGGACCAAGAGCUCUAGCAAUCUGGAAGACCUUGUCAUCGUCUGGGAUUGGUUUUCCUAUGGCAGCAAGGUUAUCACAAAGGUUCUUGAAUUUCCUUAGAAAUUCAUCAAUGGGUAUGUUGCCCUUCUUGAUUGAGUACAGGUUAUCUUUAAGUAGGGAUGGCAAUGGGGCAGAUAUGGGUUGGAUCUACUCUGCUCCAAAUCCAAAUCCAUAAUAAAAAUUAAGAUCCGUAUCUGCUCCAGAUCCGUUAUGAAUCCAUAUUUUUCGCUCCAUAUCCAGAUCCAAAAGAGAAAUAAAUAUCUAUAUCUGCUCCAAAUCCGAAAAAAAAUUAAUAUCCAAAUCUGCUCUAGAUCCGUCAUGAAUUCUAAAAUUCCGUAAUAAAAAAGUAAUAAUUUUUUAGAUUGAAAAUUGAAGGCUAAAAUGUAUUGAUAACAAAUAAAUUAUAUAAUUUUUCUCAAAAAUAUAAUAAAUAUUGUAGCUUAUACUUCUACACCAAAACAACAAAUAAGAAAGAUAAUAAAAUAUCAUUCAGAAAUAAUUGCAGGAGUAAGAUCAAUAUAAUAUUCUAUUGUCUCCUUCAUCAUUCUAGUAUCCACGAUAUACCUACCUCCAUUCCUACAACAUUAGAUAAUGACAUAUAAAUUAAAUAUAAUUUAUAUUCAGUUCUUUAUUAUUUUUAUUAUGACCAUAUUUGACUAAAUAUAUGAAUAUCUAUAUUCCUUAAAAAUUAUUUGGCCAAUAUGAUAAAAUAAAUUACCAGGUUAUAUUACUUGGAUUGCAAUUUGAAUAUUGCAUGUACAUGCUUUGAGGCUGGCUGACCUUUAAAUUUACAAAACUAACCUUUAAGUUUUAAGAGUUUAAAUUCAUGGUAAAUACUACUAAUAUGCUAUGAAUAAAAUUUAUUAUCAUUAUCAUUCCACAAUUAUUAAGAAACUUUUAAAAUAAAAUAAAAGUAAAAGAUGAGUGGAUAUGGAUAUGGAUUUAGAUAUUAAGAUAGAUCCAUAUCUGCUCCAGAUCCGUCUUAGAUCCGUACAUCGAUAUCCAAAUCCGAUCCAAAUCCAUUUUAAACCGACCCAAAUCCGAUCCGAUUGGAUUUGGAUCACAUGGAUCUUGGAUCAAAUCCAAUCCAUUGCCAUCCCUAUCUUUAAGCCAUGAUUCUUGCUCUUUGGUAGCUGGCAAAAUUUGCUCUUCAAUAGAUAACCAAACUUCAAGAGAAGUUUCUCCUCCAAUAAUUAAACUUAGAACAUCUUCACAUAUCAUCCCUCUUAACCAUGUCAUAAGUAAUCCAUCAUUAUUUUUCCAAGACAAAAAUUCAGGAUUACUAACUCUCUUUUCCAGCUAUAUUUAUCAUCUUUGGUGGAGUUGCCUCAUCAUGAAUAUGAUGUUCUAGGCCAAGGCUUCUUAUAAGAGGAAGCACUUGUGACCUCCAGAGAAGAAAAUUAUUCAUCGAAAGCUUGAUAGAUAUUAGGCUAGAGCAUUGGUGGAAGGAUUGGAUGGUGAGUUUGGGUUCAAUUUAAAAGGUGUUAGCCAUAGCUAGCUCUGAUACCAUAAAGAAAUAAUAUGCAAGAUAAUUGCAAAAGAAAUAUGUUAUUGCACACACCUUAGUGAUGAUUACAAUUCUAAUUUAUAUACAAAGAGAAGGUUUCAACUAGGAAAGGACAUAAUUACGUCAGUUUAGGAACCUUAUAUUAAAAUGAUUAAAUUAUGGAAUAUUAUGACCGUUUGAGAGCUUGCCAAGGAGUCCUUAAUAUAAGUAACUUUGAUGAGAUGAUUUUAUUGAUUGAAGAUAAGAUUUAUAAUUUGUUGGCUGAUCUGUUGGCAUUAACGAGUGAUAAUCUGUUGGCUGAUCUUUUGGCAUUAACGAAGGAAUCUUAUCACUUUCUUUCCUUCUUAGUCCUACCGGCAAGGCUUACGUUAAUAUUAAUUUCUUUCUCGAUUCAUUUACUUCUUCAACCAUGGUACCACAACUUCCAAAGGGCUAGUCAAGAAUUAUAUAUCAUAACCUCGAAACAGCACUUAAAAAAGCAGUAUGUUUUUCCUUGAAUCAGUAAGCCAGUGACUAGACUAUCAGUAUGGCAAUGGUGACAUUAUGCUGAGACAAGCAUGCAAUUAAGGAUAUUUAAUUUUAAGUAGUAAGGAAAAAAAUUAGAGCAACAACAAAAAUUUAAUAAAAUGAAAGGAAUGGAGCUGGAAGAUUUUAGCAAAAAACCACAUAGCUACUUCCAUAUUAUUUGGCAAACAAAUGAAGAAUGAAGCAUUAGGUAAACUGAUAUUGUUGAUGUUGAAUUUUGGUCAGGUUGCGUAGCGACCAGACAAUCAUGCCAACACUUAAAUUUGUAGUUGUUGGGGAGACGGUCCUGUUCUUCUUUCUUUCUUUCUUAUCGAACGGGCUCUUGCAACCUCGAACUCUUCCUCCUAAGACACCUUUGUUCACAACAACCAGUUAGGGAACGCCGGAGGUUUUUCCAACAUAAACUCUCCGACGCUCAAAUCAAUGAUCUGGGUUUACUUAGAAAAACUUGUGCCACCAAUCACGUGACCUAAUUACAACUGUUUUAAAUAAAAAGAAUUAAUUUUGAGGAAGAAAGUAAGAUAAUUGAGAGAAAUUGAAAAAUAGAGGGAGAGUAAGUUCUAGAGAAUCAAGUAACAUAAUGUAUAAUCCUUUUACCUUAGUCAUCUGUAUCUUAUAUGCCAAACUAGUGUUAUCGGCUUCCUCUCCCCCACGAUCAUUGUUGGCUCAGAAGUGCAAUCAUGGGUAAAUAGAAAGUGUGUAACCGUUGAUGAGUGGGCAGUGUAAUUGCUAGUAAAUGGGCUUCGUACCUGGAUUCUUCGUGGGUACAUGUUGGUCGCCCCUUUGAUUAGGUCUUUGAAUUGACUUGACUCGUCCUCUCCUCGAAAGUACCUUAGCUAACCACAUAUACUCGACUAGUUGUUCCCCUUCUCAAGGAAUUGUUACCGUGGAGAGCACAUUAUGCUUGAGUGAAUAUUCAACAAUUGCCUCUUUAUCAGCCAAAUACCAGUCCUCCAGUUUCUAGUGCUGAGAGUGAAACGAAUCAAAACUAAAAACUUAAUAAACUUCAUUGACCAGUCUAGCUGCUCGACUCUUAUAAUAGGAGGCUGAUAAAAGUAUUUUUCACUUUCCUGACUGGUGGGCAUAUAUUCACUCAAGUGGUCGCAUUGAUUUAAAUACAUGCGCUGUGGCACACGUUGGGGUAGGCAUUUAAAUUUCGAACGAGCAGUUAUAGCACCCUCGAGGCACACGUUCUUAAAUGACACACUGAUUAAAACCUUCCAUUUUCUCAAAAUUCCUAAUUUCCCAAAUCACUUCAUCUUUCUCAUAUUUCUCUUUCGCUUUUUCCAAUUACCAAGCCAUUUUAUCUAACCGGGGAACAAGCCGUAAAUGUUGCCUUAGUUCUAAUCUUUCCUCGUCUCAGGUAUUGUUUUUUUUUUUUUGGCACUUCAACACUGGGAAUUUUAUUAUUUUUCCUUGGCUUUGCCAGUCUUUUGGUACUAGCUUUAGGCUUAUUUGAAAAAUGUCAAACAGUAGAGAGAAAGUGAAUGAGAUUGAUGAUGAUGAACUAUAGUUUUUUCCUAGUUUAUUUAGGAAACCUGUUUUCGUCCCGAAAAUUCCCCUAGAAUCUAUAGGUGAUAUCAGUGUUAGAGACAACAUUAGGAGGAUGUCUCCUGAGGCUUCAACCUCAUCUAGAGAAAAUGAGUUGAACAACAUUGAUUCUAGUGAGGUCUCUAAUACAGAGCAGACUUUGAGUGAGAGUCAGGUGAGAGCUCUAUAGAAUGAGAGUUAUCAUGGUAGUUUUAGACUUAAAUCAAUAAUACUUAGAGAGUAAAUGAUGUGUUUUUAUCGCAUUUUACUUACAUUUUGCAUGAGCAUCCAUUUUAUUUUAUUUUCAAUAAAUUGAAUUUGUUUUCGAUCAUCUUGUGCUUAGAUUAUGUGCAUGAUUGUAUGUAACUACAAAGCUCAAUUUUCGGGGAUGGAAAGCGGCUACAACACACCUGCAAAGAUGGCAGAAUAACUUGGCUGCAGAAGAAGUAAAACAAGUUUGAAAUUGUGAAGAUGCUGUAGCCGUUGGUGUAACAAUCUUGGAGCAAUGACAGACUGAAUUUUGUGCGAAAUAACUAACAGAUUGCGAUCUAAAGUUACCAAAAAUGGAGGAUGUGCGCCACAUGCUUUCGGUUGCCCUAUUUCAUUCAAAUGAAAAAAAUUUUAAACAAACUUCAGAUAUAAAAACAAACAAGCAAAAAUACCAAAACAUCUUAACUUAAGUCAAACUAAAACUUUAGACACACAAGUCCUAAGUAUCAAAACUGAGUAAUCAUAGCAUUAUUGUUUCUUUUAAUUAAAUUAUUAAGGUUAUAAUAGGAAUUUUAAAAAGGUGUGAUGGCUUAUUUAAUAAGUUGUUUAUAAAAAAAAAAAAAAAAACCUUUUAUCUAUUUUUAAAAGUUUCAGUCAAAUUACAAAAACUUAUGAAAUAAAUAGUUUUUAAAAAAUUUACCAAAUACUAUUUUUUUCAAAAACUUAUGAAAUAAAUCGCUUAUAGCAUUUCAACCUUAAUCUCAAGAGGAGCCUUAAUCUCUUUUUUUUUAUCCUUAAAGAUUGAGUGUGAAGAAACCACAAAUAACUGAAGAGGAUUAACUAACAGUAUUUAAUUAACAAACCAACAUAUGAGGUUUGUUUCAAAAAAGUAUUCAAGAAGAUUGAGCAUAAUCAUGAGUAACUUAAACAACAAACUGAUAUUUAGUGACUCACAAUAAUUUGAGAGAGAAAAAAGAAGACUAUGCCUUCGCCAUAUGAAUUCUUAAUAUUAAGUAAUAAUAGCAUGGCACUUCGAAUUCGAUAUGAAAAUUGUCAGUGUUUUUUUUUUCAAAAUAUUUGAUUAUGUAUUGAAGCAGUAGUAUGAGAUAAAGAAGGGAUAUUCCGAGUUUAUCUUACCUAUUGGAGGCCUAUUGCAGCGCCACACACCUUUUUCACGCCACAAGGUUCUUAACAACUAACAAGAUUUAUGGUAUGAAAGAGUACGAAAAAAAAAAAAAAAAAGAAGAUUAUUUUUUAUUUAUUUCUUUUUUAUUUUGAUUUGAAAAAAAAAAAAGAAACUUUGGGAUUGCUAAAUCACAAAAGAAAUAAAUAUAUAAAGCAACGGAGCCAUCAUAGUAUUUUUGAACUCCUCAAAAAAAAAAGAAGGGUGGUAAUUGGAUCAUUUACCCAUCUGGGUAUUAAUUAUUUAGUUUAAGGAAAAUAACAUACAUAGAUGUGAACAAGAAAAUAUAUUAUAUAUAUAAUUGAAGUAAACCGACAUGCACUCACACAAUUGACAUGUAAUACGACUCAUUGUAUCCUUUUAUAUAAUAAAAUAUAACACAAAAGAAUAGCACUCAACUUAACCAGACUCGUCACGAUUUCUCUCAAGAUUCUCAUUUGCCUCCCCAUCAUCAAUUAUACAACCAUGAAAUAAAGGAGUAAUGCUAAUCUCCGAGCAUUAAAAAUUUCAAAUCCUUAUUCAUAAAUGCAUGUAUUUAUAUAUGAAUUAUAAAAGGAAUUCAAAACUUAACUUGUCCCAAUGAAAUACCUGUGAUAUACAACAUAAUAUAUAGACAGUAGAAGCCGACAUGAAACACAUAACAUGUCACUGGAAAUAAUUUAUGAUAUAAAAAUACAUAUAAAUUCAAGUAGCUCUGGGGGACAACGGGUAAGUUGAUGAUCAUAGUCGGAACGAUGUACAAGUUGAUGGUUGCGAACUUUUUGAAAAUUUAUGAAAUAUAAGGAAAAAAAAAUUAAGGAAACUAGUCAUUUGUGAUACAUUUCGGUGGCCUUAAAUUAAAUUUUCAAGAAAACUCGUAACUUGUAAAAUAUCACGGCAAUUACAAACUAAAAUGUUGGUUCCGCCCACCGAUAUGUAAUUGUAGAUUGGUAAAAGACGGAUUAACAGCUAUCGUUCAAUUACGCAGAGGUCCAAUGGAUCACUGAUUAACCAAUAAUGCAGUGAAGUUCCGAAUAAUAAUUGUGAAUGGGUGCCCACUAUUGCCAUGCAGAUGCUUCAGGUGCAUUAAUAAAAUAAGGAGGAUCACAUUAGGAAUCUUGAGAUAUGAUCUUAAAGCUUCUCAAUUAAAUCAAUUAUGAGCCACCUUUGCCAUUAUUUCAUGUAAAUAUGGUAAAUAUCACGGCCAUUGACAUGAUAUUGCAAAUAUGAGGAAAAAACCUCAAAUCAUGGUGAUUGAUACGUUCCUUUUACGUUAUCAACUUUCUUGUAUAACUUGGUCUUUGAGCUCGCCACUUGAAUAAUACGAGAGUGGAUUUACAUUUUCGAUAUCGUUUGCCUAUAGUUUUCACACUUAGAAUACUGUUUCACUGAAGAGACCUAUUGAAAAUUCUAAAAAUAAGUUUUUACUCAACAUACUUUCUUAGAAAUAAAAAAAUUAUCCUAAAUUAAAUCUCUUUUCACUUUACAUUUAUAUUCUCUCUCGACAACCAACUAACAAUUGAUCAAAAUUAAAAAAUAAAUUAUGAAAUAAGAAUUAAAAUUUAUUCAAUAAUAGACGAUGAGUAAUUUUUCAUGCAUCUUAAUUAAUCAGCGUGGCUAUUAGAGGAUACUCACUUCAACAAAUUUUUCAUCAAUACUCUAUUAUCAUGAACCAAAAGUUAAUUAGACAAUUUGUUUUUUGUUCUUGUGAAGCCGAAAGUUAGUUAAAUUCUGUUUAGUUACUGAUUAGGUGGCACGGUGAAUCAGCUUAUUGUGGGCAGCAUGUGGUAAAUUCAUUAUGACUAGGAGUUGUAUAAAACACUGAGGAGAGGUUGAUCACGGGGCAUUCUUUUCGAUUGAGUUUAGUGGCUAAUACUGAGAGUUAGGAUUCUUGGUUAAAAGAGAUUUGUUCUUUGUCACUUGUAGUCUCGUUGUAAUCAAUCUUAAGCAAUAAAGCUUUUCUUUUUGGAGUUUGGUUUAUCUCUGUUCUUGUUUUUGUUUGGCCAAAUCUUGGUUUAUCUCUGUUCAUCUUUUUCUUAACAAUCUGGUAUUAGAGCUGAUAAGCUCUCUGUUCUUGAUCUUCAAGAAUGGCAGCCACUAGAUUUGAUCUUGAAAAGUUUAAUGGUGAAAACGAUUUCUACUUAUGGAGUCUGAAAAUGAGAGCCAUCUUGAUUCAACAGGGCUUAGAUAGUGCCCUCAAUGAUGAUGAAGAAUCAAAGUCCAAGAAAGAAAAGGGGGAAGGUUCGUCAGGUUCAGAUGGAGACUUGAGGACCAUAAACAACAAAGCUCACAGCACAAUUAUACUCCACCUAUUUGAUGAGGUGUUGAGAGAAGUAGCCAAAGAGAAGACUGCCUCUGGGUUGUGGGCGAAGUUGGAAGAAAUUUUCUUAAAGAAAUCUAUGGCUAAAAGAUUAUACAUAAAAAGGAAGCUCUACACAUUUUCAAUAAAGGAGGGGACAAUCAUGAAGGAUCAUCUUGAUGAGUUAAAUAAACUGAUACUCAAUUUUGAAAAUGUCAUCAUCAUACUUGAUGAUGAAGAUAUGGCUCUUAUCCUGUUAAGCUCAUUACCAGACACCUAUGAACAUUUCGUGGACACUUUGCUCUGUGGAAGACAAACUCUCACCUUGAAAGAUGUCAAGAAUGCUCUUGAAUCAAAAGACUUGAAAAUGAGAGCAGAUGGCAAGGAUCAUAGUGCUAGGGAUGGAUUAGUUACCAAAGCAAAGACAGAGAAAAAGGUGAACAAAGACAAGAAGAACAAAAAUCAGAAAGAAAAGACUGACAAGAAGAAGAAGAAAAGGAAAUGCUACUUAUGUCAAAAGGAAGGGCAUUAUAUAAAAGAUUGUUUUGAAAAAAAGAAGCUUGAAAAGUUACAGAAAGAAUCAAGUGGGAAAGCUGAUGUUGUAUUUGUAGAUGAAGGAGAAUCAGAAGAUGCGGAUGUUCUUAUUGCAACAGAUAAGAAAUCUUCUGGUGAGUGGAUACUUGACUCAGGGUGUUCUUUCCAUAUGUGCCCACAUAAAGAUUUCUUUGUGACUUUUGAAAAUGUUUGAUGGUGGUAAAGUUUUGCUUGGGAAUAAUCUAGCCUAUAAAGUUGCUGGAAUAGGGUCUGUUAUUAUUAAAAUGUAUGAUGGUACAGUCAGAAGCUUGGAACAAGUAAGAUAUGUUCCAGAGCUUAAAAGAAACCUCAUAUCUUUAGGAAUGAUAGACCAAUUGGGCUGCUGUAUAAGGGCUGAAAAUGGUAACUUCAGAUCCUUAAAGGUGGUACAGUCAUAAUGAAAUAUAGUAGGAGAAAUGGAUUGUAUGUGCUUAAUGGCUCAGUUGUGUUACCUGAUGUUAUUACCAAUGUAAGUAAUGAUAAAACCAGGCUUUGGCACAUGAGACUAGCACACAUGAGUGAGAAAGGAUUAAAAGAGUUGAGUAAACAAGGAUUACUAGGAACUGACCAAAUUUCAGCACUUGAAUUAUGUGAAAAGUGUGUGUUUGGUAAAGCAACUAGGCAGAAGUUUAAUCUAGGAAAACAAGAGACUAAAAAUACAAUGGAUUAUAUCCAUUCAGACCUGUGGGGGCCCUCUCAGGUUCUUUCUCAUGGAGAAGCCAAAUACUUCAUUACUUUUAUUGAUGACUUUUCAAGGAAAGUCUGGGUAUAUUACUGAAGCAGAAGAGUGAGGCUUUUGAAAAGUUUAAAAAAUGACUGACUUUAAUGGAAAAUCAAACAAAGAGGAGGGUGGAGAGGCUAAGAACAGAUAAUAGGCUCAAGUAUUGCUGCAAUGAUUUUGAUCAACUCUGCAUCAAGAAGGGGAUAGUCAGGCACAAAACUGCAAGGCACAGACCUCAGCAAAAUGGGUUAGCCAAAAGGAUGAAUAGGACAUUAGUUGAAAAGGUAAGGUGCAUGUUGUUUAAUGCAAACCUUUCAAAACACUUCUGGGCAGAAGCUGUUACUACUGCAACUUACUUGGUCAAUAAGAGCCCUUCAGCAGCCCUGCAUUUCAAGACUCCUUAGGGAGUUUGGUCAGGAAAGCCUCCCGAUCUUAGCAACCUCAUGGUUUUUGGCUGCCUUACUUAUGCUCACUAAACCAGGGAAAGUUAGAGCCAAAAGCUGUUAAGGGUUACUUCAUAGGAUAUCCAGAGGGUGUCAAAUGAUAUAAGCUCUGGUGCAUAGAUGGCAAACCUACAAGAACUCUUAUUAGUCGAGAUGUUAUGUUUGAUGAAGAGCCUAUGCAGCAUCAGAGGGUAGAAACAGAGCUUAUUACACAUGAUUCAAAUGAGGAUAAGGAAUACAACUUUGAGGUGGAGUCAAGUGAAGAUAAAAAAGCUGCAGAAAGGGAUUCCAAGUCUUAUCAGAAAACACACAUCACUUCUCAAACACAUGAUUAUCAGCUUACAAGAGACAGGGAAAGGAGAGUCAUUAAGUUACCCAAAAGGUAUGGCAUAGUUGAUAUGCUCUCUUAUGUUGUGGCAGUAAUUGAGGAAGUUAUUGGUGAAGAGCCUAUAAACUACAAACAAGCUACGAGCAGUAAAAUAGAGCAAAAUGGCUGGAUGCCAUGAAUGAAGAAAUCAUCUCACUAAAGAAGAAUAACACAUGGAUUUUGGUCAAGAAAUCUCAAGAUAAAAGACUGAUAGUGAGCCUUUUAUCUUGACGUUGAUGAUGAGCCUCAAGAUAAAACCUCAAGAUGCAAAUGGAUCUAUAAAAUUAAAGAAGGGACUGCUGAUGGUGAGCCUCCCAGGUAUAAGGCAAGACUUGUAGCAAAGGGGUUCACACAAAAACAUGGAGUGGACUUUAAUGAGGUAUUCUCCCCUGUUGUCAAAUAUAGUUCCAUAAGAGUUCUACUAGCAAUAACAUCAUUCAAAGACCUGGAAUUGGAUCAAAUGGAUGUAAAGACUGCCUUCUUACAUGGGAGUCUUGAAGAAGAAAUUCUUAUGGAUCAGCUUGAGGGGUUCAUUGAAGAAGGGACUCAAGAUAUGGUAUGCUUGUUGAAGAGGAACUUGUAUGGGCUGAAAUAGUCUCCAAGGCAGUGGUAUUUGAGGUUCGAUGAGUUCAUGAUCAGCCAUGGAUAUUACAGAAGCCAAUAUGAUAGCCGUCUGUAUUUUAAAACUUUAUCUUCUGGAGAUGGUAUUUAUCUCCUUCUUUAUGUUGAUGACAUGCUUAUUACAUGCAAAAGGAGAGAGAUUGAAAGGCUAAAAAUGGAGUUGAAUUCUGCAUUUGAAAUGAAAUAUCUGGGGACUGCUAUAAGAAUUUUGGGAAUGCAAAUUGUGAAGGACAGAAAUUCGAGAACCUUGUUUCUUACUCAAGCUGUGUAUGUUAAAAGGGUCCUUAGCAAAUUUGAGAUGAGUGGUGCAAAGCCUGUGUCAGUACCUCUGUCAGCACACUUCAGAUUGUCAAAGCUUCAGGAACCAAAAGAGGAUCAAGACCUUGAGUAUAUGAAGACAGUGCCCUAUUCAAGUGCAGUUGGUAGCAUUAUGUAUUCUAUGGUUUGUACAAGACCUGACGUAGAUCAUGGUGGUUGUUAGUAGGUUUAUGGGGAAUUCAGGAAGGGAACAUUAGAAUGUUGUUAAGUGGUUGUUAAGGUAUCUGGACAAGAGAAGGUCCAUUACAUGAUAUGUUUUCAUUUUAAAUGGAGGGGCAGUGAGUUGGAAAACAUCUCUUCAGUCGGUGGUUGCUUUAUCCACAACUGAGGCUGAGUACAUUGCAUUGACAGAAGCAGUAAAAGAGGCAAAGUGGCUAAGUGGAUUAGUUUUUGAGUUUGGGUUGAAGCAGGAUUCGGUUUGCAUUGGUUGUGACAGCUCCAGUGCAAUUCAGCUCAGUAAGAAUCCUAAAUAUCAUGAAAGGACAAAACACAUUGAUGUUAGGUUGCAUUUUGUCAGGGAUGAAAUUGCAAAUGGUGUAGUUAAUGUUGUCAAGGUUCCUACUCAGACUAAUCCAACAGAUAUUUUAACUAAAGCAGUCCCUACAGUCAAGUUUAGAAACUCUCUGAACUUGAUUGGUGUUGAUAGCUUGUAAACCAAGUUAGUAGUUGUUGAAGAGGUAGGUGAAGCUGUUUCAGAAUGAACUAAGGUGGAAAUUUGUGAAGCUGAAAGUUAGUUACAUUCUAUUUAGUUACUGAUGAGGUGGCAUGGUGAGUCAGCUUAUUGUGUGCCAGUAUGUGGUAAAUUCGUUAUGACCAGGAGUUGUAUAAAACACAAAGGAGAGGCUGAUCACGGAGCAUUCUUUUCGAUUGAGUUUAGUGGCUACUACUGAGAGUUAGGAUUCUUGGUAAAAAGAGAUUUGUUCUCUAUCACUUGUAGUCUCGCUGUAAUCAAUCUUAAGCAAUAAAGCUUUACACCCAUUUGGGUUCUUCAGCCGUGGAUGUAGGUACCUUGGCACCGAACCACGUAAUUCUUCUUCAUUGUUUUCUUUUUGGUGUUUGGUUUAUCUCUAUUCUUGUUUUUGUUUGGCCAAAUCUUGGUUAUUAAUCAAGCGCCAUUUUCAUCUUUUUCUUAACAGUUCUCAUAAAUAUCAAUGAAGUUGGAAAAGAAUUCAGAGAUCAAAUGAAUAGUUUGUUCUUAACUUGCUAGUAUAACACCUUAAGUAAGAGAAAAAUGAGUUAAUGCCUUUCUUGCUACAGAUAAAAGUGGUAGGAUUUCUUGGAAUCCAUUAAAUCUAACUUAAAUGAAAAUAGAUGAAAACUCUUUUAUGUUACACAGAAUUGUCCUUUACAAUAAUUUAUAUAUUAUGUAUUCAAAGAAUUUAACUUUUUAAAAAAAAUUGAAUUUUUAAAAUAAUUUUUCAAAUACAAAUAAUCCCACCAAUAAAAUAAUUCAUGUACCAAUCAAGGAUAAACAUAAAUUAUUUGGCUGUAGCAUUAAAUUAUAGAAAUGGCAUUUUUCAGAAAAAGAAAUUAUUGAAAUGAUGGACUCCUUGCAGUCAGUGAUACAAUUGUCAUAAUUGUUUUGCACGAUAGUAGGGUACGACUUUUUAAUGAGUUUUUAAUUUUUUUUCCCUCACAUACCGAGAGAACAAUAAUGUAGUAGUCACUUUGGCUGAUUUUAGUAUCAAUUGUCACAAUUUAGCUGAUGGAGCUCACCGCCAGUUGAAACUGGAAGCAAGGUUAGUACCAAUCUCAUUUUUUUUAUUGAUUGAGAGUGAAGAAACUGCAUCAUUGGAGGAAUCACUAACACUAUUUAAAUUAGUAAAUGCAGUUUGUAGCAAAAGGUAUUUAAGAAGAGAGAGCAUAAUCCUGAUUAAUUUGAAUAACAAACUGACACACAGCAGUUUUAUUUAUUUAGUUCAAAGAAAACAAAGUUCAUAGAUGUGAACAAGAAAAUCUCUUAUAUAUUCUAAGAGAUCUUAUUAUUCGGAAUGAAGCAAACCGAAAUGCACUCACACAAUUUACUGGCUAUGGUGCCCAUGACAUCCUUUUACUUUAACACUGCACUUAACCAGAUUCAUCAGGGUUUCUUCCAUAUUGAGGGGCUACAAGGAGAUCAAGAUUGUUAUUUCCAAUCCCAUCAUCAAUCAUACAGCCAUGAAAUGGAGCGAUGCUAGCCUCCAACCAUUCCUUAUUGGCUGAAAAUUUCAAAUCAGAAAACCUGUUCGUAACGGCAUAUAUUAAUGUAAGAAUUAUAAAUGGAAUUCAACUUAAUAUGGCCUGAUGAAUUACCUGCAUAAACAGUCUCCAUGUUCUUCAAAUCAGAAAAUAUCUCUGCUAGCUUCUGCACAAGUAAUUAAGGAGCGUUUGCUAGUCUUUUGAUUGUGGUUGCUUCCGGUGUGGUAUAACACAAUAUAUACACGGGUAGCCGACAUGAAGCUAUAUAAUAUAUGAUUGGCAAUUGUUUAUAAUUUGAAAAUACAUAUAAAUUCAAGUAGCCAUCGGUGGCAACGGGGUUAGUGGAUGAGGGAUCGACGGCUGAUGCUUGAUUGUUGAGUGGUAGAAGACGGAUUAAGGUCUAUAGUUCAAUUACGUAAAUAACCUGAGAGCUUGCAUGGGACCGAUGGCUGACUGAUUAAGCAAUAAUUGUAGUUAUGUACAUGAUAAUAAUUGUGAAUGGGUGGCCACUACUGCCAUGCCGAUGCUUCAGGUGCAUUUGAAAAAACUAGGAGGAUCACAUAAGGAUCCUUGAGAUAUGAUUUUGAAGCUUUUCAAUUAAGUCAAUUAUGAGCCAAGAUCUUUGCCAUUAUUUCAUGAAAAUAUGGUAAAUAUCAUGGCCAUCAUAGUUUUGCAAAAUAUGGGGGAAAAAAAUCCUCAGAGCCUUCUUGUAUAAAUUGGUCUUUAACUUGAGCAUUCGCAUUUCUAUAUUGUCUAUCUGGCAGACGUUUUGGCUGAUUUCGGUGUUGGUUGUCAUCAUUUAGCUGGUAGAACUCACCACCGAUGGAGAUUCAAAAUCUUAUUUCUAAAUAUCUCACUGAUUUUAUUCAUUUUUACUAUUGGCUUUCAUCUAUCUUUUUGUUGAUUCUUUUCGAAUGUAGAUGAGUAAGUUACUUUAUUACGUCCCUUGACUUGUGUUGGCUUUGUUUUUUUAUGCAAAUAAAGUUUCCCUCGCUUCGUACUUUAUUACGUGGGAUAGACUUUAUGACCAUCGUUUGAGCCAAUUAAGAAAUACUGCAUCAGUUGGUAUUCAAACUAAGUAUAGUAUUAUCGUUUGCUACGUUGCAUCAAUUUUAUAAAAAUUAAAUAUAAAAUAAUUCAUACAGUAGUCGAGUAUGAACAUAAAUUAAUUUUGAUGUAGCAUUAAAUUAUUGAAAUAAUGUUAUUUAGAAAAAGAAACUAUUAAAACGUUGGACUCAUUGCAAACGAUGAUACAAUUGUCGUAAGCUUUUUGCAUGACAGUAGGGUAUGAAUUUUUAUUUUUCCUUCAUCUACAGAUAGAACAAUAAUGUAGCAAUCACUUUGGCUAAUUUAGUUGUCGGUUUGUCGUAAUUUAGCUCGUGGAGCUCACCGCUAUCGGAGAUUGGAAGCUUUAUUAAUAAAUAUGCUAAUGGUUUCCCCCAACUAUAGAUUUUAUAGGCUUUUUUCUUGUUUGCUUUCGGUUCUCAUUUAUCUUUUUUGGUUGCCUCUUUCACAGAGCCUUGAAUCUUUUUUAUUUUACCACCGGGCAUUCUUUUGGAGGUAAGGUUUAUUUCGUCCACCUGAUUUGUAUUGGCUUUUUUUUUGCUUUUUAUAUAAAUAAAGUUUUCCGUAAUUUGCCAUGGUUAAUUUCUUUUAAAAAAUUAUUUUUUAAUAAAAUUAUUUAAUACAAAAAUACUCAUGAUAUGAUUUAUUACUAGUCUACUUUAAGUAAAUAAAACAUAAUUAUUUUAAACGCUCAUAUAAUUAGUAAAUUCGAUCUUUGAAUAUAUAAACAAUCUUCUAUCUUAAACCCUAAAACUUUUACAAAUAUUUGCAAACAAGAUAUUACGUACCCUUUUGAUUCAGUAAAUAAACUUUUAUUAAUUACUCCAAUCAAUUUUCAGCUUAAUGACAUCUAGCAAUCUGCUAUUACGUUGGCCAAAUCUGGUGCUGAAUCGUUAACUUUAAUGAUUUCUUCCUAUGCUUCUUCUAUUUAAGUAAUAUUUUUAUGGCACUUUCACAUAGAGCUUCUACUUCACUUAACUUGCAGCUUGAUUUCACGACUAAUUUUUAAAAUUGAAGCUGUGUCAGGGCUAGAUAAAUAAUAAGUUUGAAAUUUUCUUCUUUGUUUGUUCAAGAAAAUGAGUUUUUUUUUUCGAACUUGAUGGAUUUGAUUAAGUACAUAAAAUACUUUCUACAAAAAGAAUUGAAGAUGUCUUGUUCUUCUUUUUUUUUUCUUCUUUUUUAUAAUUUUCAUGAGCAAGAAAAUCUUAAUUUACAUAAACUUUAAUUCUUAAAUUAUGAUUUUCACAUCAUUAUAAUUGAAAGAAAACAUACUUUGAUCCAUAACAAAAUUUUUAUCAAGUUUCACCAUAAUAAUUAAAGAUUUAGCAACAUUGAUUUCUUUCUCUUAAUCCUUUUAGAAUGACUCACUUUUCUAAUAAAUAAAAAAUUAACUUGAUAUACAGUGGAGAGAGAAUCAAUUUCAAUAAAACUCUUAUUCUCACUUUCUAUGAAAGUGGACAUUUAGAUUUUUUCAAUUGAUCAAUAAAAUUUCAGUCCGUUAUUCCUUUAUUUUAUUAUUUAAAUUUCAAUUAUAACCCAUUCAAUAUUGUGGCACAUGGGCCACUACUACAGCAACAUAACGUGGGAGCUUGCGCGGGUCCAAUGGCUCACUGAUUAGCCAAUGAUUGCAGUUAAGUACAUUAUAAUAAUUGUGAAUGGCAGGCACUGCUGCUAUGCGGAUGCUUCAGGUGCACUUGUAAAACAAUUCAUACACCGGUCGGGUAUAAACAUAAAUAAAUUAUUUGGGCUGUAGCGUUAAGUUAUUGAAACGAUGGACAAUGCCCUAAAUUAUAUCUAGCACUAUAUAUAUAGUGUCAGCGCCAACGACGCUAGAUUAAUUUGAUCUCCACUGCCCCAAAUUUUGUUUCUGAAAUGGAAAAUGUUAUUUGUACUUGACAUUCUCUCACAAAAUUUUAUAUGGCAGAUAAAAUGAAGAUACCUGUAUAUAAAAAUAAAAUUUAUAAAGUGAAUGAAUUUGUUAUUCGUUAUUUUUAAUGAUUCUGAUUCGUUGUUUUAAUGAUUCUGUGCAAUUUUAUGGGCAGUAUCAUCUGUAAAUAUCAUUAUUAUUUUGAGAUUCCAUCACUUCAAAAUUUGAAUCAUCGAUUCUUCACUUCCAAACCAGCUAGAUUAAGUAAAGUAUAUCUAAAGACUAUGUGUAAAGAUAAAUACAAUUAAAUUCUAACUACGUUAGAAAAGCUCCAACUUAAAGUUUGUUUUUCUACGGUCACUAUUUUUUAUUUUUUAUUUUUUAGUUUUGAAUAAGGUUUUGAUGUCCACCCUGAUUGUAAUAUCAUUUUUUUCUUUAAUUUUAUUUCCUCUCACUUGUGAGGUCCCAAAAAAAGAAAAAACUAUAAUACCUACUAGUUUUCCAAAUUUUUUUAUAGGUAUUAUUGCUCUUAAUUGUACAAUGAGGAGGAUGCUUUAUACUCCAAAAUUAAUUUUGAAUACUCUUAUUUUAAUAAAAUAAUUUAAUACAAAAAUACUCAUGAUAUGAUUUAUUAUUAAUCUACUUUAAGUAAAUAAAACAUAAUUACUUUAAACGCUCAUAUAAUUAAUAAACUCGAUCAUUCAAUAUGUAAACAUUAAUCUACCCUAAACCCUAAAACUUUUAUAAAUAUUUGCAAAGAAGCUCUUACGUACCAUUUUGAUUCAGCAAACAGACAUCUAGCAAUCUGCUAUUACGUUGGCAAAAUCUGGUGAUGAUUCGUUAACUUUAAUGAUUUCUUCCUAUAAUUGGUUUCAUCUCAUGCAUUUAUGCUUCCUCUAUUUAAGUAAUAUUUUUAGGAUCCCUCUAAGUUACAUGCAUGUACCUUACAACCCUCUCACAUAUAUAGUGAAUGGAUACUAUUCAUGUGAGAGGAUUGUAAGGUACAUGCAUGUAACUUAGCAUUAGCCAUAUUUUUAUGGCACUUUCACAUAGAGCUUCUACUUCACUUAACUUGCAGCUUGAUUUCACGACUAAUUUUUAAAAAUGAAGCUGAGUCAUGGUUAAAUAAAUAAUAAGUUUGGAAUUUAAAUUAUAUUCUUUGCUUGUUCAAGAAAAUGAGUUUCUUUUUUUUAUCCGAACUUGAUGGAUUUGAUUAAGUACAUGAAAUAUUUCUACAAAAAGAAUUGAAGAUGUCUUCUUCUUCUUCUUUUUUUUCUUUUAGUGAAUUGAGUAUUUUUUUUAUAGGUGUAUAUAGUAAAUAAAUGAAAAUUAGUUUAAAAGGUUUGACAGAGUGUAAAAAAUAAAAAUUAUUUUUAAAAAAAAUAUGUAGAUGAGUGUUCAAAAUAAUAAAAUAUUCAAACUAAUUUUUAGAGUGAAAAUAAUCUUGUCUUUAUAUUAUAUAGUAUGAGAAACAUUAAAGACUAUGUAACUAUGAAAGGUAAAAGAAAUAUUUUUAUUAGGGUGAAUUUUUAUAUCAUGAUGGUUGAUUUUUUUUUUUUUUUUUAAUAUAGCAUGGUGGUUGAUUUUAAUUUUGGGUUUUAAACAUUUCAAGCAGGGUAUUUAAAAAGUAAAUUUGGAAUGGGGUGCUAUAAGGACUUCAAAAGGGUGUUAAAAGCUUCACCCAGUGGCAAAUCAGGCCGAUUCCAAACCAACGUACUAAGCCCAUUUGGGUGGGAUGUGACCUGUGAUCGGGUUUAAAUUGGACGUGGCUUUUAAUAGAUUAAAGAAAGAUUUCAAUUCAGUGCAGUACAACGUACGUUGUUAUGAUUUAAGCUCGUUGACUUUUAAGAUAGACCGCAUGGUGAUUGGGAUGGUUAAACGAGCUCACUUUGUAAUUGCCCGGUAGCUUCAUUUGUGCUUGGGAAAUGGGAGGUUGGCAAACCCGGAUCCGGCGCCUUUUGGAAACGGAUCAUAGCUCCGUGUUAACUUUCGUUGACUACACAUUGACUGAGCUCAUAUGGACCCGUUUAUUUCAUUGACUUUGAGUUUUUUAAGGGCUUUGCCACGUGUCUGUGUGCUUUCAUUAAAUUUUUAGCCGUCUUUUUUAAUUAACUUUAUUUAUUUAUUAAACUAACUGGAAUUGCUCUGUUCUUUUUUUCUUCCUAACUAAUUAAUAUCGAUCUCUUGGGACCUAAACUGCCACAGGAUGUUUGAGACUCAAAUCUUUGUAUGGUUUUGAUUUAUACAUAUAAUAUUGAAAAAGGAAGAUGCCUUUAAUUUUGCUUAAUUCACUGUUAUGCUCUUACUAGUUGAAAUUAAUUUGGUAUUGUGGGGGCGUUUUUACAUUGCACAAUGGCCAAGGAACAAUUACAUUGCAUGUUAAUUAAGCUAUUCAAAAAUUGAAAGAGGCAGUGAUAUAUAAUUAAAUGCCGUAACCAUGACAUUAUUGAUAAUGAAAUUUGGCCUCGUGCACCGAUGCAAGGUGAUGAUGCAAACUCUUGAUUACUAAUACAUAUGGUGCAAUAAUUUAUUCCAUUACAAAUUUAACUUCAAAUCUGCUGCCGCAUACAGCUACUCUGAUUUGGUUAAUUAAUUAAAAUUAACUUGGUAUUUAGGCUGCUUAUCUGGGGCAAAAAGUCCCCAAUGCCUCUCAAUCUCAUCUUCCUUUUUAUCCAUUCUCAUCAAACAUAGUAAAAAUGUAAGUCUCAAUAGGCCUUGGCUUCUUUGGUGACCCUUGCUUCACAUGCUGUAUCAAGUUAUUAUUAUAAGUCUUUGCAUUAUCAACGUUCGUUAACGCUCCGUCACCACCUGCCGCCGGCCACCCACUCUCCGAUAUCACAAUAUCCAACGAGCCCCCACAGGCUUUUCCAAUGCAGCAUAAGUACUAGCAUCAAACUGGGCAUCAAAAAGAUUCAGGUAACUUAACGGAGGGUUAGAAACAACCGGUUGUUCUGCCCUAAAUAGUGCAAAAUCAAGAGAUAUAUUACAGUCACCAGCAACGGGGAAUUGUUUUCGUUAAGGAAGGUAAUGAGGGGAUCGAGAAUUGUUUUCGUUAAGGAAGGAAUUGCUUAAAGGAGCCAGCUGACGGCGGAGAGAAUGCAUCAAGAACUCCCAAUUCAAUUGCAGUGGAAACUUUGAUUUGGCUUCCAAGGUUAGCUCCGUUAAUGGCGUUUUGUAUGUUUCUCAUGGUGGGUACAAGAUACUGCGCAAAGUCGUCUCCUGGUUUUGCUUCAUUUCCUACAGCAAUGCAUUUGAACUUGACAUUGUUAACAAAAUUUUGGACGUUCUCUUGGACCCAGGUAUUUGCUUCGGCUUGAGUGGAAGAGAUUCUUCGAAGGUCAUCGUUAGGAAGGCCUAGCAUGACUUCAAUGUUGGAGCCACGGAACGCUUCGAGUGCUUCUCUGUUUGGAUCAUAAAGUCUCAUUCUUCUGAUGUUGUUUUGGUUGUAAAGAGCUAUGACAUCUGGUUUUUUUUUUUUUUUUUGUUUUAACCACGAGGUAUCCUGGGGAGGGCCCCAACUGUGGGAGGCGCCUUUAAACCUGUACCACAACUCAGAAUAGAAGUCUCCGCUCGAACCGAGAGGCACAGGUUCUCCCAACAAAGGCGACUUCCCUGCGACUCGAACUGGGAAGCAAACCCAGUCACGCCACUUAAGAAGACUCCAUUGCCAGUGGAGCCAACACUUUGUUGGUAGCUAUGACAUCUGGUUUUGAUGGUAAGUUGUCACCAACCAUUCCAUAACAAACACCUAUUUCAGCACCUGCAUUAUAUAUCUAUGAAUAAUAUUAAUUCAUAGAGAUAUAUAUAGGUGGUGAAAAUGAUCAAAGACGGUGUUGAUUUCAGUAAAUUAAUCAUUUAGCACCUCAUGUUCAAAAUCCGUCUUUUAGAAAUUUCUAUUAAUUUUUAGCUUGUUUUGUCUAUUUUACAAACUACUUAUGAUGUGGUAAAACACUAAAACUCAAAAUUGAUUUUGAUGUCUUUUUUUUUUUUUUUUUUUAAAUAAUGUGAGGGGUGGACAGAAGUCAAAUUAAUAAAUCUCUUUUAGGUUUCGAACUGAGUAGUUAGUAAAAAAAACUACUUAAAAAAAUCAUUCGGUCAAGUAUGGUUUUGAUGAAUUUUACAGCAUGGAGGAAAUAAUUAAUUUUUGAUGAAGAACAUGGAGAUUUUGAUCAUUUUCUCGAGAAAGAUAUGUACAUACUUCUUGUGUGUAAGGUAGCCAUUAGCAGUCCAAGAAGUAACAUGAUCACGGAAGCCAUUGAAGGGGUAUUGGGAGAGUUAAAGAAUUUAGCCAUGCGUGGAGAAAAAUGAAAAUGCAGAAGUGUGAUAUACCAACAACAUUUCGUAGCAGCCGUUUCAUAGAGGAAAAUCAUGACGAUGUCUAUGAACCAUAUUGGAAGGCAAAAAAAGCCAAAAAAAAAAAUAAAUACAUAAAAGAAUUCCUCAUUGAUAAUAAAUAAAACUUGAACAUUUUAAAAUAAAUUAAUUCGACAGCUUGUCUUCCCGGUUAUUUAAAAAGUCUGAGGCUAAUUUAAUUUCUUGCUGCAUAUCACUAUCUUUUGCCCGUGCCCUAAUGCUGCAAUUUUUUCCUAUCCAUGGUUGCGGUGUUUAUAUUAAUUACCCGAAGUAUACAACACGGUUAUUCUUUUAUUAAUAUGCGUCAGAAAGUGGAACAAGUCUUGAUUAGAUUUUAUCAUCGACGUGGUCAUGCAACUAUCCAAUUAUAUAAUUUUACAUGUUAUAUGUAUCUCAUUCGUGUAUUAUUAAUGUACUUUAUUUUAUGUGUUAUUUGUAUGGUUGGUUACAUUUAUAACAACUAAUUUAUAUAAAAAAUGAUAAUAUUAAGGUUACUAUUAUAAUAAAAGUGCAUAUAUUUCAUUCCAAAAUUAGUAUUACUUAUCAUUUUAUUAGGGAAUGAAGACAUAAUUUUAAUUAAGGGCAAUUUACUAAUUUAAAAAAUUAAUCCCAAUUACAAGACAAAGUAAGUAUAUUAAUGGAAAUACAGUUCAUUUCAAUUUCAGUUCAUAUAACUCCAUUAAACAACUUAUACUGAUGCUAAUCAUUUCAAUUCCAAUUAUUCCAAUUACUGCAUAUAUGAAAUCCAAAGAAGGAAACUCACUAUUUUUAUGUUUCAUAGCACUUUUGAUCGUUAGAAUCAUCUUAAACCUAAAACACAUCAAUAGGGUAAGUGCUCAUCCUCAUAGACAUGCGUGAAUGGCGAAUUAAUUAAACAACAAAUUAAUAUAUUACAGCCACCAAGACACUCCCAAAAUGAGAACGUACUUCACUACUACAUAUUUUCAUAAUUUUAGAUAGCAUUUACAUUUUAGAUUGGAGCGGAAAUUCUGAGAAGUUGAAAUCCUAGAAUUAAGAGUGUGGAGUAGGAGCGAGAGUAAGUUGUUUACUUACAUUGGGAUGGGAGCAUAGAAUUGAAAUCAGAAUCCAAUUUAUAUGUUUACAUAGUCUUAAAUUGAGAAUAAAUAAUUUCAAAUUACAGUUUUAUCUUUAUUUGAAGAAUUGUACUUUUUAAGUACAAAAAUAUUAGAAAAUAUAUUAGAAAAAUAAAAUAUUUAUUUUAUUAUGUUUGUAAAUUAAUAAUUAUUAUUAAUAUUCUUAAUUACAUAAAUCACAAUUUUUAUUAAUUUUAAUUUUAAUUAUGUAAAUAAGAAAUUAUUAUUAAGAGCAACACAAAUGAAACAUUGUUAUUAAUAAUAUAAUACAAAAUUAAUAUUUUCUUAGAAUAAAAUAUUGAUUAUUAUUAAUUACUAAUAUUAAAUAAAUAUAAUACUAUUAUUUUUAAAUAAAUAUAAUAAUAUUAUAUUUUCAAAUAGAAAUAGUAUAUAGUAAUAUUAUUAAUUCUCUAUAAGUAUCAUAAUAUUAUUAUAUUAUUUUAUAAAUUUUAUUUAAAUGAAUAUGAUAUUAUGAAUUUAAUUUUAUUAAAUUAUUAAAAAUUAUUUAUUUUAUUUUAUUAAAUAUAUAAGGGUAAAAAAGAAUCCACUCCCCACUCCAAAAAAGGUAGGCCCCAUAGAGUGAGAUUUCCACUCUCCCUUAAAAUUGGCAAACACUGGAGUGGAGGAAUCUAAACUCUUCACACCCACUUCAGGAAGUAAACACUAUAUUAAUAUAUUGAUCUUUUUUUAGGUACAAUAAGUAGUAGUAGUAGUAGUAGUAAUAAUAAUAAUUAUUAUUUAAUAUUUAAAUAGGGUAAAAAAAAAGAAAUUUUGAUUUUCUUUAAAGUUAACAAUGUCAAUUCAUUUUCUAUUUCUAGUAUCUAUUUUCAUUCUCACUUCCCCAUGAAAAUGGAAAUGAAAUUUCCAUUCCAAAAUAUGUUGAUCCCAUUCAAAAUCUAUUCUCAUUCUUUUAUAUUUUUAGUAACUAAACACAAAUAAUCAUUCUGAUUCCCCUUUCAAUUCCCAACAGUCAAGCUACCUUUUCUUUGGGGUGGGCUAAUUUUUUUUCUAAUUAAAUGCUUUUCUAUUGUAGAGAGAAUUUAUUAAUAAGAAAUUAAAGAUAUAUCUAAUUAAGGACAUAAUAAGUCUUAAUCCUAAAGAUAUUUAUUCUACACAAAUGAAAUUAUUGAAGUAAGAUGCAUGCAAAAAAAAGAGUAAUAACAAUAAUAAUAAAAAUACGAUGUAAAUUAGAAAAACACUAUUGAAGUUGUCUCCUGCGAUUCUUCAAAAAAUAUAUAUAUUAUUGAAUAUAGAUCAAUACUAUCAGUAAUUUCUCUUUCAAUAUACAGAAUCAUUCAAUCUUAAAGAUAUUCAUUCUCUAUUUUAUUUCAAUUUGUUAUCUUAAUAAGUUCCAUAAAAGAAAUGCUCUCUCUAUUAUUGUUGUUGAAACAAGAAGUGUUUAUGAAAGCCAUGGGAUUUGGAGAGGAUAAACGUUUAUUCUUCAUAAUUUUAUUUUUUAUAUAUUUUAUUUUUCAUUGAGAAAUAUCCGGGAUAUAUAAAAUGGACCAAAAUUAAUUGGAGUUAAAGAAGAUGCCAAGUGUUUGGCAACUCAAUCCCAAUUGAGUGCGACUUGUUAUCAUGUCUUAUGGAAAAUAGAACACUCAAAUUUGUUAGGUGUCAUCAUCGACCUUAUGCAUAGAUGGAUGUUAAUAUCAAUGUCAAGUCUAAUUAAAAGUAAUCUAUUUAGAUUUUCAGUAUUAUGAGCUUUAAUGUAUCUAAUAGGGUGUGGGCCUUUAAUGUGUAGAAACUUAAUAUUAUUUUAAUUCUAUGAUGGGCAGAUUUAGGAAUAUCCAAUGACAAUAGGAAAAGAUUGUUUAUAUAAGUGGUUAUAGUCCCUAGGUCACACAUAUCUGUCUAUUCUCUAUUGACAUCCCACCAUCAGAGAGAAAACGUAAAGAGAAUUAAAGAACUCUCUAGAAGAAUGUGUAGAUGUGGAAGGCCAACCACACAACUCUAGAAAGCAAUUCACCCUUAUGGAUUCAGGUACACUUCAGCAUAAUUUUGUUAUUGAUUCUUAGUGAUAUAAUAUGAAUGUUCCUCGACUAUAGGUGAUGGUUUUCACCAAAGGUUUUUCUUAUUUCCAACAAAUGGUAUCAGAGCAUUUUUAUGUUGAAUCAUUGAGAAUCAAAUUUAUCUUUGAUUAUUUAUUAAAUCUUUGGUAUUCUCGAAUUUAAUAAUACUAGAAUUAUUAAAAUUAUUGAAUUUGAGAACAAAUAUGCAAUUGUUUUUCUAGAAUUUUUUAAAUUCGAAUUUACAGUUUAAAAUUAAAAAAUUCAAUUUUUAAAAAUUCGGUUUAAGGUUUAAAGCUGGCGGCAGCCCAGCCACCAUCGGCAUCGACGCCAGGGCGGUGAUAGUCAGGUUGAGUCGUGGCUGAAGGCAGCGGCAGAAGGUAAAAGGCUGCCGCAUCAAGGAAGAAGAAAGAGAUUAAAAAGAGGAAAUAAAAAAAUGAGAUGGUGGUCAAGUUCUUUUUUUUUUUUUUUUUUGCUAGGAAUGGCGCGAUCAUCAGGUCGCGUCAUCAAGCAAGCCACAACCUGGUGGCUGCGGCAGCUUAGGUGAGAGCGGCUGCCAUGGCCGCCGCCUAAGCUAGGAGAAGGAAAAAUGCAAAAGUGAAAUUAGGGUUUUAUGGUUUAUAUCAUGUAGGUCCCUCAGGUUUUAUAGAAUUUGUUUACGGUAAAAUAGUUUUGAAGUUUCUCAUUUAAGCACUAAAUUUGUUUGGGCUUAUUGAAACUAAAUUUUGGGCAUAAUAUAUUGGGCUUGAUGGAUUAAAAUUAACGUUUGGUUGAUAUUAGCCUAUCAAAAUUAAUGUUACGUUUAGCCCAUUGAGAAAAAAAAAAAAAAAAAGAAAGGUUGGUUUGAUUUGUGGGCUGUUUCAGGAUGAGGUUCGGGUACCAGUAAACGAUUAUUGGUCAAUGGUCAACAUUGAUGUUGAAUUUGAUCGGUGACCAAAUUUUGACUUUUUAAAUUUUUUUUAGAUAAUCUUUUGUGCAAUUUUAAAUUCAAAUAUCGGUAGGUUUAUAUGCAUUUUGAGAUAAAUUAAUUGAAGCGACAUGUCACCAAAGUGACCUCUCUUAUGAAAAUUAAUAUAUUUUUAAAUAUAAAUGGUUUUGUACAAAUAAUUUAUGUUAAUAUCGAUCGGCCCACCGGAAGGUCUAUAUUUAAUAUAAUUACAUGUACAUUGUGAUGAUUAUUCGGUUUUACAUGCGAGCAAUAAAUAAGCCCAAAGAAAGAUUCAUUGUUUGACAUGUUCUUAUUAUCAGUGUUUGAUUACUACAUCAAGAUAUUACUUACGAAUUAAUAUUUUGUCCAAAGACGAAAUAUUAAUGAAGUGCUCGAUAUCUUGAGAUGGGUUUAUCUUUAUUUGAAUUUAAUUUUUUAAGACUAAGAUAAGCCUAUUUGGUUUGUUUGUUGUUCUUUGUUCAGUUAUGUCUAUUGCUAAUAUUACUGCCAACAUUAAUUUUAUUCCUAUGCUAAAUGGCCCCAACUUCAAAUCAUGGGAAGGGAACUUUUUAAUUGUACUCGCAGUCAUGGAUUUUUACCUUGCGUUAAGGGUUGAUUCUCCACCACCUCUUAAGGAUGAAAAUACCAUUGAUGAUAAAAGGGAUAUGGAAAGGUAGGAGAGAUCAAAUCGCACGUGUAUUAUGAUCAUGAGUAAGGCCAUUAUGGAACCAUUCAGGACUCUAUGUCUGCAAGGAUAACUACGAUUAAAGAGUUUCUUAUAGAAAUUGAAAAUUGAUUUGUCAAGAACGAAAGGGCAAAAAUGAGCACACUCUUGACAAAUCUGAUUUCAAUAAAGAAUAAGGGCAAGGAUAAGGGUUAAAAAAAAAGAAUGGGAAUAAGGAAGCUGCAGAUACAACACCUGAAAAGAAACAACAAAAGAAACUGGAUGAUCGAGAAGCUACUAGUUGUUUCUUUUACGGAAUUGAAGGGCAUGAUUUGGUUUGUUUUAAGGUUAAUUUAACUUUGGUACCUAGACACACGUGGUGGAUAGAUUUUGGUGCAACCACUCACAUCAGUGUAUCUAUGCAAGGUUGCUUGAAUUGCCAAAAGCCCAAUGAUGGUGAAAGAUACAUUUAUCUGGGUGAUGGUAGGAAGUUUGAAGUUGAAGCAAUUAGAAAAUUUAGAUUAUUAUUAAAGACAAGAUUUUAUUUGGAUCUUGAUGAAACAUUUAUUAUUCCGUCUUUUAGAUAGAACUUGAUUUUCAUUUUUGUUUUGGGCAAAAAUGGUUAUUCUUGUCCAUUUGGAAACGAAAAAUUAAGUUUGUUUCAUGAUUCAAAAACUAGUUACUUAUGGUUUUUUGUUAGGAAGUGGUAAUCUUUAUAUGCUUGAUGUGAUUGCUUCAUUUAAUGAAUUAUUGCAAUUAAGUACAUGAGGUUUAAAGAGAAAAUUAACCAAUGAGAAUUCAGCUGUGUUAUGACAUAAAAGAUUGGGUCAUAUCUCCAUAUGGAGAAUAGAGAGAUUUGUGCCACACGAAAUUUUUGAUCCCUUAGAUUUCACAGAUUUUAAUAAAUGUGUUAACUAUAUCAAAGGGAAACAAACCAAUAAAAGGAUAUUUAAAGCCAACAGGACUUUGGCCAUCUUAAAACUCAUUUAUAAAGACAUUUGUGGGCCAUUUCCUAUAGUAGCUUGGAAUGGUAAAAAAUAUUUUAUGACGUUCAUAGACUAUUUUUGUAGAUAUGACUACAUAUAUCUCCUCCAUGAAAAGUCACAGUCCUUAGAUUUGUUCAAAAUCUUUAAGGUUGAAGUUGAAAACCAAAUCAUCAAAAGAAUCAAAAGCGUCAGGUCUGACUGUGGUGGUGAACACUAUGACAGAUAUAAUGGUUCAGGUGAACAAUGUCCAGGACCAUUUGCUAAAUUUCUAUAGGAAUGCGAUAUCGUCCCACAGUACUCUAUGCCGGGUUUGCUCACUAUGAAUGGUGUUGCUGAAAGAAAAAACAUGAUGCUUAAAGAUAUGGUGAGGAGUAUGAUUUGUCAUUCUAUCUUACCAGAAUACUCUGGGGAGAAGCCUUUAAGAUUGCAGCAUAUAUCCUUAGUAGAAUUCUGGUGCACGAUUUCUUACGUUAUAGGUGUCAAUGUGCAAGUGUACACAACAAGUAAUAUAAUGAUAAUUAUUCGAGAUCAUCUCUACAGGGAUUGAUGUUAUUAGAUUUGCUAUAACAAUCUUAACAGUGCAAUUUUACUUUAAUUGAAAAUAAAACACUUAAUAAAACUAAUAAGCCAAUUAAAAUAAAAAUGCAACAAAUAAAAAUGCAGUAAAGUAAAUUAUCACGUCACACGUAAAGAAGAAACUAAUGGAAUAAACUAGUUGAGUGAUUAAACUCUUUUAAUGGUCUUGACUAUUUCUUCUAAUUUUCAGUUCGGUUGUUGUAGCAUUUGCUACCGCACUGAUAGAAUCCUUAUGUAUCUUCAGCUGUCACAUGUUGGAUGUCUUAUAUUUUUAUACAACCUAACAAUGACCAAUUGUUAUGCCAACACAAGAUAUAAUAUUACACGUUUAGGUUCUAUUUACCCUACAAGAUGAAUCCCUAUGUCUAGUUCAUCAUUAAUCUUAGAUUAAAUAUGACCCUUUUGGAAUUAAGUAAAACUUAGUCCAAGAAAUUCAAUAUAGAACCAAGUAUUGCUCUUAUAUGUUAUACUAAAAUAUACCAUUUUAUAGUCAUCUCUUAGCUAGUAUCAUUAAAUGGGUGGUCAACCAAAAUAAUGAAUUCCAAUUAAGGAGACUACCAAAACCCCUUAUCAGGUUUAGAUAGGCAAGAAGCCUAGUCUAAAGCACUUGCAUGUUUGAGAAUGUCCAGUUGAGACAAGGCUUUAUAGGCUUAAUGAGAAGAAAAUGGACUCAAGAAUGGUGAGUUAAUAUUUUAUUGGGCACUCAGAACGAUCCGGGGGUACAAAUUUUAUGAUCCCACGACUAAGUCGAUUUUCAAGUUGGGAAAUGCUCGGUUCUUCGAGGAUGUCGAGUUUGCGGGGUAGAUACAGCUAGAGACUUUGUCUUUGAAGAUGAAUAUGUUAAUAUUCCUAUAGGUGUUAUUUGCAUUGAUCGGGGUCUCAUUCUUGACUUUGUUCAAAACAUAACAGAUCAGGAUAAUAUUGGAGAAUCCUAAACUUUACUAUCUCAAGAACCUAUGCCAUUAAGGAGAUUUAUAGGGAAAGGAGAAGUGCAUUGCCAGAUGAUUACAUCAUAUUUCUCUAAGAACAUGCGGUAGACAUUAAAAUGAUGGAAAAUGAUCCAAUUAAUUUUCGUCAAGCCAUGAUGCCAUAAAUGAAGAGAUGAAGUCCAUAAAGGACAAUGACAUAUAGGAUCUUAUCCCAUUAUUAGAAGGUACAAAAUCUAUUAGUUGCAAAUAGAUAUUUAAGACCAAGAGAAAUUCGAAAGGCAAUGUGGAGAGGUACAAGGCGCGUCUUGUCGCCAAGGGCUUUACACAGAAAGAAGGCAUCGACUAUAAAGAGACUUUCUUUCCGGUUUAUUCGAAAGACUCUUUGAGUAUUAUAAUGGCAUUGAUGGUGUAUUUCGAUAUUGUGUAACAUCAUAUGGAUGUAAAGACGACGUUUCUCAAUGGUGACAUUAAUGAGACAAUCUAUAUAGUGCAACCAGAAAACUUUGUCCAGAGACCCAAAGAAUAUAGUUUGCAAAUUUAAGAAAUUAGCUAUGGGCUUAAACAUGCAUCUCAACAAUGGUAUUUCAACUUUCAUCAAGUGAUCAUCUCAUUCAGUUUUGAAAUGAAUUUAGUCGAUGAUUGCAUAUACCAUAAGUUCUAUAGGAGCAAAUAUAUUUUUCUAGUUUUAUAUAUCGAUGACGUUUUGCUUAUCAGUAGCGAUAUAGGCUUGUUGCACGACACCAAGAGAUUUCUAACUAAGAAUUUUGAGAUGAAAGAUCUUGGUGACGCCUCUUUUGUAUUAGGCAUACAAAUACACUAGGAUCGCCCCUAGGGUAUUCUUGGAUUAUCUUAAAAGAGCUAUAUUGAUGGCAUGCAAAAUUACAAAUGAGGUAAUACCCCUAUGACUAAGGAAGACAAGUUUAGUCUCAAUCAGUGCCCCAAGAAUGAUUUUGAGGAAAAGGAAAUGCAAAUAAUUCCUUAUGCGUCAACAAUAGAAAGUUUGAUAUAUGCUCAAGUUUGUACGUGAUCGGAUAUUGAGUACGUCAUUGGGAUGUUUAGAAGAUAUUUAAGUAAUCAGGAAUAGACCAUUGGAAAGCAACUAACCAGGUCUUACAGUACUUACAGAGAACGAAAGAUUACAAGCUCACAUAUUAGAGGUCAGAUCAACUUGAAAUCAUUGGGUUUACUAACUCUGAUUUUUUUGGAUGCUAAGAUAGUAUGAAAUUCACUUCGGGUUACAUCUAUCUACUAUUUGGGGGUGCUGUCUCUUGGAAGAGUGCUAAAUAGUCUUUUAUAUCCUCUUCUAUAAUGGCAACAAAGUUCAUAGAAUGUUAUGAUGCAUUUAAUCACGGAAUAUGGAUACAAAUUUUGUCACGGGGCUGCUGAAAUAUAAGUGUGCAACCCAAGAGGGGGGUGAAUUGAUAUUUUAAAAUUAUCCUAACAAAGCCACACAACAAUCCAAUCUAACGCCUUAAUAAAAUCGAAAGCAAUAAGUUCAAUAAAAGCACAAUAACAAAUAAGUACGGGAGAAGAGAAACAAACACACGAAUUUUUACGUGGUUCGGCAAUCCCCGCCUACGUCCACGCCUCCAAGCGAUCCAAGCUUGAGAAUUUCACUAUCCGAGCCUUUCCAAGGCUUCAAACGUUUACAAUUGACUUUAAGGUGUCAAUGAACCUUUACAACAAAGAGAUUCUCUCCCAAUCUCUUCACUCAAGUGUAUCACACACUCAAACACUUACAAUUAAGAUGAAUAAAUGAAAAUUACAACAAAACUCACUCAAAGAGUAGAUAUUCAAGAUGAAGAACAAGAGAUGAUUCAAUGUUUUAUGAUUUGCGAAUUGAGAGCUCAAGAUAUCUUGUGUGCUUUUUGUUUAUGCUUGCUAGAGAGCUUGAAAAUGAAUUGGAUUUGAGUUUAUAUAGUUUGACCCAAAAAACUAGCCGUUAUGUACAUUUUGGUCAUAACCAGCUUACCGUUUAUGGAAUCCAGUUAGCCGCUUUUAUGUUACCGUUAAGGCAAAAAUUUGAAUUUCAGAAUAUCCAACAUGCCGCUUUUCAUAUCCGAUUAGCCGCUUUUGAAAUCCGGAUAGCCGCUUGCGAAAUCUGGAUAGCCGUUUAUGCUUCAGAAGCUUACUGCCCAAAAUCCAAAUUGUCGCUUACCAUAUCCGGUUAGCCGCUUCCUACAGUAACUGCUACAGUGAAAUAUUUUGUAAAUUUAUAGUUUGACCCUAAAACUUUAUAAAACUAUUUUAUAGCUCAAAACGUUAUGAAAUCUUUCAAAUAGGUCCAAUUUCAGAAUUUCUAAAUAAUGUUUUGUCAAUCCCAAAACUUUCUAAAAUUAUGAUUUCACCCAAGUUAUGUGAAAUUAUAGAAUGACCUAAAAUAUUUAAAUAGUUUCAAAUAGGUCCAAAUCUGAAAUUUUAAAACAAUAUCAAAGUUUUUAAAAUACUUUCAUUUUAGUCCUAAACCCUUUAAUUCCAUAACAUCAUUUUCUUAUUAUAAAAGCACAAUUUAUAAAUCUUUGUUUAAUCAACAAAUGUGGUUUGUUAUCAUCAAAAUCAAUAUUUAUAACCAUAUAGGCUAACAACUGCAUAUAGUAGAUAAUGUUGAUAGACUACUCAAAUUAUUUUGUGACAAUAAGUCAGCAGUGCUGUAUUCCAAUAACAACAGGAGCUCAACAAAGUCAAAGUAUAUAGACAUCAAGUUCCUAGCUGUUAAAGAAAAAGUUCAGAGUGGACAGUUGUCUAUUGAGCACAUCGACAUAGACUUCAUGAUUGCAGAUCUAUUUACUAAGGGAUUGCCCCUCAAGAUGUUUCAUGAGCACACUGCUCAUAUGGGUGUCAUGUCAUUAAAGGAUAAUCAAUUUUAGUGGGAAUUUUUUUAUUUUAGAUGCUCUUAUAAUAUAGACAUUUUUAGUUAUUUUAGUUUAUGGAUAUUUCAGGUUAUUUUCUACAGAAAUAAAGUUUUGGUUUAUUCACACUCUGAUUUUGGUAUGAUUUGAUCUUAGUAAAGUAUAAGGUGAACCAGUUGGAAAUAGGCAUGUUAAGAUCACAUUGCAUGAAAUUUCCAUGCUACACAUCCACAUUAUGAUCCAUGUCAUUUAGUCCUAUUGGCAUAGCGACCAUUGAUGGGUUGAGUGACAAUAAUUGUAGCGAAGGCCAAUUUAAUUCUAUGUUGGUAUGAUUGAUGGACCGGAUUGGUUACAUAUACAUUAUGGUAAUGGUAGUAAGGUUGAGCUAAUAUGAUUAUUUUUGUAAAAUAUAAUUAUAAGGUUACACAUAUAGCCCAAGUGGGAGAUUGUUAGAUUUUUUAAUCCAAUAUUGUUGGAUUCUUAAUCCAACAUUGGGCUUAUAUGUAAAUAAUUAUGUGUUGUAGAUUUUCAUAUAAGGUUAACCUCAAUUAAAAGUUAUCUAUUUGGAUUUUCGGUAUUAUGGGCUUUAAUGCAUAUAAUAGGGUGUGAGCCUUCAAUGUGUAGAGACCUAAUAGUAUUCUAAUUUUAUAAUGGAUAGAAUUAGGAAUACCCAGUGACAAUAGGAACAAGUUGUCUAUAUAAGUGGUUAUCGUCCCCAAAUUACACGUAUCUUUGUAUUCUCUAUUGACAUUAUCAUCAGAGAGAAAUGACUCUCUAGGAAAAUGUGAAUAUCUGGAAGGUCAACCACACAACCCCAUAGAGCAAGUCAGGGUUAUGGAUUUAGGUACACUUCUGCAUAAUGUAGUUAUUAAUUCUUGGUGAUACAACAUGAAUGUUCCUGGAUUAUAGAUGUUGAGUGUUAGACAAUGUAUAUUUAUAAAGGAGAAAAUCGUCAUUUUACAUUUCAAGUCUUACUAACAACCCUUACUUUUAUGUAUUUAAGGUUCUUGUAAUUUAAUUAUGUGUGUUUUAUUUUAAUUAAGUAUUUUGUGUAUUUUAAGGGCAUCAUAGUUUUUUCACAAUAAAUGAGAGAUCAAACGGCAAAACGGACAUCACUUUUAAACUCAGGACGGUCGAAAACCUUAGGAGGAGCAUAAAAGAAAAAAUGGCACUGUUCACAUGUACGGUACUAUUCACAUGUACGGUAUUGUCUACAUUACUGUUCACGAUACUGUUCACAUAGACGGAUCGAUGACGUGGCAUUGACCGAUGAUGUGGCAUUGACUGAUGAGGUGUCAUGAUCCUGUUGGUCUAAAAUUCUUAUGAACUGUUGAUGGUGACAUGGCAGCAUAUUAGUGGACCAAAACUUGCGCGUACGGUACAUGCAUUACACAUGAUUAUUUUCAACCAAACCGCGUUACUGUUCAAAGCCGGGUCAAACCGUGUUACUGUUCAUCCGCGUGGUCAAACCGCGUACUAUUGACUGAUAACGUGGCGCAAUCCUGAGCGUCCAAACUGUUUUUAAUCUGAUGGCCGUGAUUUACUCAAUGUAUUUAUAAAAAGAGGGCCUCCCCCUUUAAUUUGAUAGCUCUGAAUCCAUUUUUGGGAUCCAUUUUCUGUAAUUCCUUCUCCAUCUUGUUUUUCCUACGUAUUUUAAUAAAUUUCUAUUUUACCCCUAGUUCAAUUAUGAAUAGCUAAUUUUCUUUCAAGCUUGGGUUGAAGGUGAAGUCUCAACAUGUGUCAUGGGCUUUAUUUGGUAAAUUUAUUUUCUUUUCCCCUCUAAUUUUUGUGGAUGAUUUGACUUUUCGUUGACAAAUAAUACUAAUCUUGUCUAGAUACCGCCCUGGUUACACCGGCUCCCUAGUACAAGGUUAUUAUUAUUUGGCACGAUAAGCCCUUAGCACCAUAUUGAUUAGAGUGUGGUUCAUGAGGUGUGGAUUCCCCCCUCAUGAUUUAAUUGGCAUUAAUAAGGAAUAUUUAGCCCAUGGUGCAUGUUGAUGCGGAUCCAGAUACCCAAGUAUGUCAAUUUAAUAGAUUUUCACUUCAAUUUAUUCUUGCCUUCUUAAUUUGAAUUUUAGGAUAAUCCAAAUCAUUUUCACCACAAAUCCAACCACCCAUUUAGAAAAUUAAUUCUACAUACAAUUAAAAUCCACCUCCUCGUGGGAUCGACACUCGUCACCAUUAAUCUAUUCUACAAUAGAUUCGUGUACUUGCGAGUUCAAUAAAAUUUGCACAACAAUAGAUGAUGGUUUUCAUCAAAGAUUUUUCUUAUUUCCAUCAUAGAGGUGAUAACUUAUAAGAAAGAGCAACAAAGGUGAGCUCUACACAAGCCUUUUAACAUAUAUAAUUAAUAGAAGGAAUGUAAAUGGCAUGUAUCAAAGAGAUUUUGAUAUCCUAACAAUUGAGAUGUAAAAAAUAAAAUUACACAAGUCAUCAAGAUCAUGCUAAAAGAUCCUUGGUAUUUUAUACGCAGAAACUGCAGCCACAUAAUUUUGAUCUUUUUUAUCUUAAUAAGACUAUAUUCGCAGAAAGCUCCAGUCAAAUUUCCUUGAAGAAAAGGGAAAUGUAAUUGUUUACCCAAGUGUUCAUGUGUGAUGAUGUGGGCGCGCUUUUACAUUGCAUAAUAGCCAAGGAAUAAUUACAUUACAUGUUGAUUGAGCUAAGCAAAAAAAAAUUGAAAGAGAAUAUGAUAUAUAAUUAAAUACCACAAUCCAUGACAUUACAAAAAAUUGAAAGAGAAUAUGAUAUUAUUGAUAACGGAAAUUUGGCCUCACGCAUAGAUGCAAGGUGAUCAUAAAAACUCUUAUUUAGUAAUACAUAUGGUGCAAUAAUUUAUUGUAUUACAAAUAUAACUUCAAAUUUGCUGUUGCAUGCAGUUGCUUUGAUUUGGUUAAUUAAUUAAAGUUAACUUGGUAUUUAGGCUGCUUGUUUGGAGCAAAACGUCCCCAAUGCCUUUCAAUCUUAGCUCCCUGUUUUUCCUUCUCAUCAAACAUAGCAAAAAAGUAAGUCUUAACAGGCAUGUUAGGCUUCUUUGGUGACCCUUACUUCACAUGCUGUAUAAAGUUAUUAUUAGAAGUCCUUGCAUUAUUGAUAACUCUAUGAAAUGAGAGUUAUUACGACAAUUCUAGACUUAAAUCGAGAUUACUUAGAGAGCAAAUGGUAUGUUUUUAUUGCAUUUUUGUUACAUUUUGCAUAAACAUUCAUUUUAGUUUCAUCCUAAUAAGUUUUGCUUGAUUAAUUUAAUUUGUGAUCAAAUUGUGUGCAUAAUUGUAGGUUUUCAGAAGCUUAUGAUUCAGGGAAAGAAUGUUGAAGCAAUAGGCUGGCACAAAAGAUAAAGAAUAUGGCCACAAAAGAAGUAAAACAAAAUAUGGAAUAGUGCAGUGCUAGACUGGUUGCUGGAGCAGCCAUUGCUGUAGCAAUCCUGGAACAACGAUAGAGAAAUCUUAGCACGAGAUAUUUACAGAAUUGAGAUUUGCAGUUUCCUAAUCUGACUCAUACGCGCCCUAGGCUCAUGCUUACCCUAAUUUUCAGUAUAAAAAGAGGCGCGCAACACAUAAAAUGGUGGCAAGGAAUUAACAUAGAAAAAAUCAAGAGGAAAAGAAGAACACAAUCAGAAUUCAAGGGAACAGAUGCUGCAUCAGUAACGAAUCCAGAGAGUUGUUUGGAUUCAGUCUCCAUCAUUCUUUACUUGUUCUUUUCUCUACUCUUUGAUUCAACCAAUGUAUUUCGUGACCAUUAGUUUGCUGUUUGUUUCUCUUUUUCAAAAGAUGAACUAAACUUGCUUGAUGUUGAGUGACAAACAAUCUAAAUGGGUUUUUGACUGUUCUUAUGAGUUAUUGUAUGAUUGUGAUAGCAUUUUACUCUAGUAGCUAUUAUUAUAACUGUUAUUUCGGUUGGCCACCCAUUUAAUGCUUCAAGUUAAGAUAAAGCCGCAAAAUGGCAUGUCUUAGUGGAUAUUAUGGGAGUAAUACUUGAUCUUAAUUUGAGUUUCCAGGAUUGAAUUUAUCUUGAAUCCCAUAAGGGCUAUACUUGAAGUUAAGAUUUGUGAAAAACUAGAAAUAGGCACUCACCUUGUAGGGUUGAUAGAGUGGAUGUUCACAAUGCCAUGCCUCAUGUAGAAUAGCAACUAGUCGUUGUUAAGAUACUUAAAGGUAUGAGAAGUCCAACACGCGACAGUUGAGGAUGCAAAAUAAUUCUGCCUAGUUCUAUAGAAAUUGCUGUAGCAAUUGGUAUUAAUUUGAUGAAAAGCAGUCAGGCCAUGAAGAGAGUUUGAUCAUUCAACUACCUCAUUCUCAAUUGAUUCUUUUAAGCAAUUUACUUAGUUUAUUUUAUUACUGCAGUUAGUUGUUUUAUUUCCUUACAAUUGUUAAUUUCGGUAGCAAACAACUUUGAAUUCGUUCAUCUUGAAAUAAAAGGUAGAUAACACUAUUGUGAUUGCUGUAGCAUUUCUAGUAACAUCAAUCCCUGUGGAGACAAUUUUAAAUACUCAUCACUUUAUUACUUGUUGUGUACACUUGCAUAUUGGCAUCAAUAGCAAUUGAGUUUAAAAUUAACCAACAAUUUUCCACAUUCAUUAACGCUCUGUCACAACCUGUUGUUGGCCACUCACUUUUUGAUAUCACAAUAUCCAACGAGCCCCGCCACUUUCUCCAACAUGUUAUGUGGGGAAUGUGGAAUCAAAAGCACCAAAUAAUCAUAAGAAAAAUAAAGGACACAAAAUUUAAUGUGGUUCAGCAAUAUGCUUACGUCUACGGGAGCGAGAGAAAAUAAUUGUAUCACUAAUAAUUAUUAUAGUACAAUGUUUGAGUAAAAGAAAUCUCACUUCCUAGAACUCAAAUACAACCAAUACUCUCACACACUUGAAAGGAAAAACCUAUGAAUUACACACUCUCCAGUUGCUCACUCUCUUAACAAUUUUAUAAUUGAAUUGUUGCUCUCCCAAAUUUUGGGAUGCCUUUAAUGAACGAUUGCUCCACUAUUUAUAACUGAACCUUGCCAUGCAUGCUAGCCAUUUUCAAAGCAAAAUUCUUGGCACUUUUCAAAUUUUCAAGAUUCGGUGCCAACCUUGGUGGCACAUUAAUCAUUUCUAUGCUAGCCACAUGUAUAUUUAACUAAAGUAAAAAAGGUUGCAUGUGCUCAACAAUUGUCUACCUUGGCUCAGAUUUGUCAAAUCUGAGCCGACUAUUAAUGAUCCAUCAUCUCUAAAGUGGUUGCUGAAAUAUGAGUGUGCAACCCAAGAGGGGGGGUGAAUUGGAAUUUUAAAAAUUAUACUAGCAAAUCCACACAACAAGCAAUCUAAUGUCUUAAUAAAAAUUGAAAGCAAUAAGUUCAAUCAAAGCACAAUAAUUAAAUAGCAAGGGAAGAGAAAGCAAACUCAAGGAUUUUUACGUGGUUCGGCAAUCCCCGCCUACGUCCACGCCUCCAAGCACACCGGGCUUGAGGAUUUCACUAUCCAAGCCUUUCCAAGGCUUCAAACGUUUACAAUUGACUUCAAGGUGUCAAUGAACCUUUACAACAAGAGAUUGUCUCUCCAAUCUCUUCACUCCAAGUGUUUCUCACACUUGUACUCUCACAAUUUGAUGAGAAAUGAAAAUUACAACAAAAACUCUCUUUAAGAGUGGAUUUACAAAUGAUAGCUCAAUAAAGAUUUAAUCUAUGAAGAUUUUCGAAUUUGAAGCUCAAUAUAAGUUGUGUGCACUUGUUUAUGCUUGCUUGAGUUACCAAAAAUGAAUUGGUUUUGAGUUUAUAUAGUUUGAACUCAAAAACUAGCCGUUACUAGCCGUUAUGCACAUUUUUGGUCGUAACCGGCUUGCCGUUUAUGGACAUCCAGUUAGCCGUUUGCGUUUCGGAUGUUUACUGCCCCGAAUCCGGAUUUCCAGUUUUUAGAAUCCGGUAAGCCGCUUGCUACAGUAACCUGCUACAGUGAAAUUUUCCCAUAUUUUCAAUUUGACCCCCAAAACUUUAUAAAACUAUAGUAUGACCCAAAAAGUUAUAAACGUUUGCAAAUAGGUCCAAUUUCAGAAUUUUAAAUAAUGCUUUCUCAAUCCCACAACUUUUUGAAAUUCUGACUUCGCCCAAACUUUAUGAAAUUAUAGAAUGGCCCAAAAACAUUUAAAUAGUUUCAAAUAAGUUCAAAUCCGAAAUUUCAAGCACUACUUAUUUAUUUCAAAGUUUUCAAAAUUCUUUCAAUUAAACCAUAAACUUUGAAAAACAACCAAUUUCAUAAAAUCAUUUUUCCAUUAAAUAUGAAACAUUUAUAAUGUGAACAUAAUGAUUUAUUUAAAAAGAAUAAAAACAAUCAAUUUCAUAAAAUCAUUUUUCCAUUAAAUAUAAAACAUUUAUAAUAUGAAAAUAAUGAUUUAUUUAAAAAGAAUAUUAAAUAAUUUGAGCUUAAAAGAUUAAUCAUUUUUAAUCUUGUUUGUUAUCAUUAAAAUCAAUAUUAUGAAAACAUAUAUGUUAACAGUUGCAUCUGUGAUUGCUCAAGUACCCAAAAUUUGGGAUCAAGCCAAUCGUAAUUUAAAAAUUUCCCAAACUCAACACAUUCGAAGGAUUUGAAUUAGUUUCAAGCAAUAUUGAAACUUAACUCCAGAAAUCACCUUUAACAACAUAUCUGAUGGAUUAUAUUUGGUAUCAAUCUUUCUUAACAACAAAACAUCGCUCUCGAUAACCUCCCUUACAUAAUGAUAUUUCAUAUCUAUGUACUUUGUUCGAGUAUGAUAUGUUUGGUUCUUUACUAGGAAUAUCGCGCUUUGGUUAUCACAGAAGACCUCAAUAUUCUCUUAAAUUACUCCCAAAUAUCGUAACAAGUCCUUAAACCAAAUAGCUUCCUCUACAGCAUCAGUUGCUGCCAUAUACUCUUCUUCCGUAGUGGAAAGAGCAAUUGUUGAUUGUAAAAUCAACCUCUAACUAAUCGAACCUCCACCCAAUGUAAAUACGUAGCCCGUUGUUGAUCUUUACUUGUCAAGGUCUCCGUUAAAAUUAGAAUUGCAAUACCUAACACAUUAUUGACCAUAAUUUUUUUUUAACAAUAAUCCAACAUUGACUGUCCCAUACAAAUAUCAGAGCAUUCACUUCAUUGCAAGCCAAUGGUUUUUGUUUAGAUUAUGAUGUAUUAACUAGCUAUACUCACGGCCUUGAGCACACCAUAGCAUGCGUAAGACUACCCACAACAUACGUAAGACUACCAACAUCACUAGCAUAUGGAACACGAGCCAUGUAGUCAUGCUCCUCUUGAGAUGUAUGACAUGAAUAAGAGCUUAAUUUGAAAUGAGUAAAAACUGUUUUAGUUUUGUCAUCUAUAACAAACUCUUUUUCAUCUUCAAAUAAGACUUUUAAGUUAACCAUACACUCUCAUUCUUUUUAUCUCUACGAAUCUUCAUUCCAAGUAUUCUCUAUGCAUCAUCCAAGUCUUUUAUCUCGAAUUUAGAAGUUAUCUGCUUCUUUAACCUUUCAAUCUCACAUCUAUUCUUCAAAGUUAUAAGAAUAUUGUCGACAUAGAGUAACAGAUAGAUGAAAGCUCCAUCUUGUAGUCUUCUAAAGUAAACACAGUGAUCGGGUUCACUUCUGGUAAAUUUUUACCCUUGUAUGAAUUGAUCAAAUCUCUUGUACUAUUGUCUUGGUGAUUGUUUCAAUCCAUACAAAGAUUUAAUUAAUCUGCACAUAUAAUUCUCAUUUCCAGCAAUUUUGAAACCACAAGGCUGAGUCAUAUAAAUUUCAUUCUCCAAAUCUCCAUGUAAGAAUGACAUCUUAAUAUCUAGUUGAGCAAACUUUAAGUCAUAUUCGGCUACCAAGGCAAAUAGGAUAUGAAUGGAAGUAUGCUUUAAAGCUGGAGAGAACACUUCAUUAUAAUCAAUACUCUCCUUUUUAGAAAAGCCUUUUGCUAUAAACCUUGCCUUGUAUCGAGGAAUUGUUUAAUUUGGAGAACCUUGCUUCUUAGUGUAGACCCAUUUAUUGCCAAUAGCUCUUUUUCCCUUAGGUAACUCCACAAGUUCCCAAGUCUGAUUUUGAUAAAGAGACUUCAUUUUUUCUUCCAUGGCUAACUUCCAUUGGUCACUUUUAGUGCUGCAUAAUGCCUCACUGAAAGAGUUGGGGAUGUCAUCAUCAAUAACUGGAAGUGCAUAGGAUACCACCAUGUUUUUAGUAAGACAUUCGGUUUUCUUUAUCACUUUUUUUUGUCUCUCUAUUGCUAUACUGUCAUUUUCAUCUUUUAUAUCUUCAAUUGUUUCUUCCUCUUGUGGGACAUCAACAGAAAAAGCUUCUUCUUCUACUCUUGGGGUCUCCUCUAAAGUUGAAAUCUUCUCUGAUGUAGAACUAACUAGUAUAAAUAAAGUUGUAUCAAACUCCACCCGUUGUAAUGUCUCAUUGGUCUUGUUCUCCACCUACUGAGAACUGAAAACCUUCAACAUAGAGGCUUCAUCAAAAGUGACAUCUCUACUAUACACAGACUUUUUAUCUUCGAGAUCCUAUAACUUGCAUCCUUUAACUCUACCUUUAAAUCCAAUAAAGAUAACUUUUCUUGUAUGAGGAUCGAGUUUAUCAUUCUUUAUAGGAUAAUAAGUUGGACUGCUAAACACACGAAUGGAGUCAUAGUUUUGUGCAUGUUUUCCAUAUCAUAUUUCCAUAGGAGUUUUACCUGCAAUUAUAGUAGAAGGCAACCUGUUUAUCAAGUGAUUUGCGUAGCUCAAAACCUUAGCCCAAAAUUUUUUUAUCUAAACCAGUAUUAGAUACAUACACUGUACUUUCUCCAGUAAAGAACGAUUCAUACGCUCAGCCACAUCAUUAUGUUGCAAAGUAUAUCUCACCAUGAAAUGUCUUUUAAUACCCUCACUCUGGCAUACUUACAAGAAUAGAUCAGAAGUAUAUUCACCCCAAUUAUGAGAACGUAAUACUUUGAUCAUUCUGUCAGUUUGAGUCUCCAUAAGUUUCUCCCAUUUCACGAAAAUCUCUAGAAUCUCAUCCUUUACUCGCAUGGUGUACAACUAAUCACGUCUAGAGAAAUCAUCAACAAAUGAAACAAAAUAAUGGCUUUCACCAAUUAAUGCAGUCUUUCCUGGUCCCCAUAUAUCACUGUAAACAUAUUUAAAGAUAUCAUGAGUAUCAUGAAUAGUCAUACCAAACUUGACCCUUAUUUUCUCGCCAACAACACAAUACUCGCCAAAUUUCAAUUUAUAGGUGUUGGUACCUUUCAAAAGUUCAUGCUUCAUUAGAGUUUGCAAAGACUUUUCCCCAGCAUGUCUUAGUCGUACAUGCCAUAGCUUGGUGGUGUUACUGUGUCCAUCACAAAUAUUAGCUCAUCGGUUAUACCUUCUUUCAAAUAGUAUAAAUUAUGACAUCAAACCCCUUGUAGAAUCACUAUAUCCCUAUGUGUGAACUUCAUUUUGCAAUCUUCAAUGGUAACCUUGUAGCCUUUAGCCUCCAAAGCACUUACAGAAAUUUGAUUUCUUCUUCAGAGUUGGAACAUAUCUAACUUCUUUCAAUUCUCUGACCAUUCCGUCGAACAUUUUGAGCCGAAUUGCUCCUAUCCCCAUUGUGCGACAAGGUUGAUCAUUCCCUAUCAUAACUAAAUUGGAUUCUAAAUCACAGAAAUCUAUAAAUCAUUUCUUUAAGGGACACAAAUGGUAGAUAACUCCAGUAUUAAGUAUCCACUCACUCAAAUUAGCCACGUAUGCUGCUGGCGUAAUACUUAACGAAUAAUUAGAGUCUUCAUCUUUACAUGUCAUAUUUCUUACUACUGAGCCUUUGGACAAUCUUUCUUUCGAUGGCCUCUCUCAUGAUAAAAAGACACUAAUCUUGAGCUAUAUUUCUACUUCUCGAUUUGGACCGAGAAUUCUUUUCAACUCGCUUUUUCUUUUUCUCCAUCGUCCUUCUCUGGCCGACAAAGCUUCAGAUGAUGCUAUUUCAGAACGUUUAUCUUUAUUCCGAAUUUUUAAAUUGGUCAAUACUGUGCAGACAUCCUUGAAGAUAAUCAUGUUUUUCCCAUAUAAUAAAGUGGUCACAAAAUGACUAUAUUCUUUUGAAAGUGAGUGUAGUAGAAUCGUCCUUUAACUUCAUCCUUAAUAUCUUCACCAAGAUUUUUUAAAUCUACAAGCACCUUCUCAAAUCUUGAGACAUAAUCGUGCAUUGACACCCUGGGCUUCAUUCAAAAGUCAUAUACUUGGCUCAUUGCAUGAAGACAAUUUUUAGAACCUUUCAACAAGUCCUUCUCAUCGAAUGCACGCCACAAAGUCAUCACACGCUCCUUAUCUUUCGCCAAAUAUUUCACUUCCUUGGUCAAGCAAGAUCUGAUUUGACCAUAAGCUUUUUCAUUCAUACAAUCCCAAGUUUCUUCGUCAUACAUGUAUCUUUUAUUUUUCAGAAAAACAUCGAGAUUGAUUUGAAUAAGAGCAUCCAUAACUCCGCGCCUCCAUAUGCCGAAGUUGAUUUUCCCAUCAAAAUUUUCAACAUCGAUCUUUUGAUCUCCUAUAACAGGUGCUGAUUGGCGAUGUGACAAGUCUCGCUUCCCACCCGUAGUGUCUCCUAGAAUAGUCUGGGUAGAUCUCUCCCCAAUUCUGUAAGUUUCACCUUCUAUCAUUUUCUCAAUAAAUUAUUCCUACCUUAGAGAUCAAUACGUAUGGAAAAAACGCACUAGGAAACUUUUCAAGAAAGACUGGAGGGGUCACAUCAAUCCCAUUUAAAACCAAGUCUCCUUAGGCUUUUAUUACUUUUGUGACAAAACUUUCCUAAACAUGUACAAAUCCACACUACACAAAAUAUUGAUCCUCCUAAAUACGAACUACUAGCUCCACUGUAUUCAUAAACAAUACCGUACAUGAAUAAUAUUGUAUACGUGAACAAUAUCAUUUACGAACUGUCUGCACUGAUACCACUUGUUGUGCACGAAAUGUGGCAUCGAGCGCACCAAAUAAUCACAAAAAAAGGAAGAACACAAAAUUUAACGUGGUUUGACAAUAUACCUACGUCUACAGGAGGAAGAGAAAAUAAUUGUAUCACUAACAAUUAUUGAAGUACAAUAUUUGAGUAAAGGAAACUUCACUUUCCAAAACCCAAAUAGACCUAGUACUCUCACACACUUAAAAGGAAAAACCUCUCAAUUACACACUCUCCAAUAACUCACUCUUUUAAUAAUUCUACAAUUGAAUUGUCACUCUCUCAAAUUUUGGAAUGCCUUCAAUGAACAAUUACUUCUCUAUUUAUAGUUGAACCUUACCAUGCAUGCUAGCCAUUUUUAAAGCAAAAGUCCUGGCACUUUUCAAAUUUUCAAGGUUCGGUGCUAACCUUGAUGGCAUAUUCAACCUUUCUAUGCUAGCCACAUGCAUUUUUAACCAAAGUAAAAAUGGUUGCAUAUAUUCAACACAACGCAGCAUAAGUAGCAUCCAACUAAAUAGUGCAUAAUCAAAAGAUAUUCGAUGGUCACCAGCGAUGGCGAAGUAAGGGUACAAGUUAACAAGCAACGAAGAUUUGUUUUCGUUGAGGACAGUAAUGAGUGGACCCAAAAUUUGUCUGUUGUCUUGCCUAAAGGAGCCUGCAGAGAGGAUACUUCAAGAGCUCUGGAUUCAAUGGUAGUGGAAACUUUAAUUUGGCUUCCAAGGUUAGCUCCAUUAAUGGCGUUUUGUAUGUUUCUCAUGGCGGGAACAAGAUACCAAGCGAAGUCUUCUCCCGGUUUUGCUUCAUUUCCUACAGCAAUGUACUUGAACUUGACAUUGUUAGCAAAAUUUUGGACGUUGUUUUGGACCCAAGUGUUUGCUUCGGAUUGAUUGGAAGCGAUUCUUCGGAGGUCGUUGUUGGGAAGGCCCAACUGACUUCAAUGUUGGAGCCUCUAAGAGCUUCGAGGGCCUCUCUGUUUGGAUCAUAGAUUCUCAUUCUUCUGAUGUUGUUUUGGUAGCAGAGAGCUAUGACAUCUGGUUUUGAUGGUAAGUUGUUACCACGCAUUCCAUAGCAAACAACUAUUUGAGCACCUGGAAUGAUAUACAUAGAAUCAACAAAUUAAAACUUAUAGUUAUGAAUAAUAUCAAUACAUAGAGAAAGAUAGAUAGGGAAAAUGAGCAAACCGCUAUGUUGGAUUCAGUAAAUUAAUAAUUUCGCACUUAAAACCCUCGUCUUUUAAAAUUUUCUAUUAAAUUCCAACUUUUUGUGUGUCUUUUACUAGUAAAACAUUAAAUCUCAUUAUUUAUCAAUAAAAGUCUUAGGAAUAAAAUAGUAGAAGAUACAAAAAUUGAAAGUUAACAGAAAUUUCUUAACCACAAGGAUUUGUGAUGAUUUUUUUUUCUUAAAAAAAAAAAGGUCAAGUGAGCGCAAAAUAGAAAACACUUUUUUAGCCCAAUAUCUCUCCCAAUUUUCGAACUUGGGUGGUUAGUAAGAGAAAACUACUUGAAAAUCAAUUGAUCAUCCCUGUGAACAGUGGACAGUUUUGAUGGAUUUUGAAACAUAGAGGAAACGAUUAAUUUACAAACAACAGGAGGUUUGGAUCAUUUCCUUAGAGAAAUAUAUGCACACGCACAUACUUGUAGUGUCUAGAAUAGCCACUAGCAGCCCAAGCAGUAGCAAGACGACGGAAACCAUUGAAUGGGUAUUGAGAGAGGAUAAGAAUUUAGCCAUAGAGAAAAAUGCAAAUGGAAAGUUGUGAUACCAACACCACUUCUAAGCAGCCUCUUAUAGAGGAAAAUCACCAUAACCAUGAACCAUAUUGGCAGGAAAAAAUAUAUAUGUGUGUGUGUGUGUAUUGCCACGUUGAUAAUAUGUUGACAUCUUAAGUAUUUCGAAACAAAUUAAUCAACCAAUUUGUUUUUGGGUUCUUUGAAAAGUACUGAAGUUAAUAAUUUUCUUGAGCAUGUCGCUAUCUUUUGUCUCAUUGGCUGUGCCCUUCUGCAAUUUCCUCCAUACUUGCGGUGUUCAUAUUUGUUGACAUUCAAUUACUCAACAACGCGGUUCUUUUUAAUAUGGUAUUAAAAAGUGGAGCAAGACGUGAUUAGAUUUUAUCAUCGACGUGGUCAUGAAAAAAUCCAAUAUUUUAUAAUGUCACAUGUUACUUAUAUAAUCAUUCUGUAUAACAUUUAACUCAAAGGAUCCAUGUACAAAUUACAAAAAUAUGUAGACGUUCUCAAUUUAGAAAUAUCUUGUUGGUGGCUUUAAUAUUAAUUUGUUGCUUAAUUAAGUCGCCAUUCAUGCAUGUGCAUGAGCUGAUGAGCAUGAGCCCUUACUCAAUUGAUCCAUUUCGGUUAAAGAUCAUACCAAUCGAAAGUGCUAUCAAAAAAUAAUUUUUAAUUAUUGAUAUUUAAUUAUCUGGUGCACAUGCUACACAAGAAAACCUGCAUGCAUAUGCAUGCUGAUGCUGCCUUGUAAUAACUUGUAGAGCUCGAGAAGGACGUUAGAAACAAAAUUUUAUUGUUACGGCUUCUACAAAUAUGAUUUUUUUUUAAAUGUUAGCCUAAGGACAAUUCAAUUUUCUACCCACCCACCUGAAAGGAUUAAAACUUCUUACUCUUGCUCAAACAGCAUUAAUAAUAAAAAAGUUUAGAGUUCUCAACUUUUAAAACUAGGAAAAGAAUUGCACCUUUAUUUGGCCAUGAUGACAUGUUAAUUUAUGAGAAGAUAUGGUACUUUUAGCCCAUCCGAUGGGAUUCCUGCAAUUUUUGGAAAUAGAUUAGCAGAGGAUAAACAUUAUAUUUUUCAUAAUUUGAUUUUUAUAUAUUGUAUUUUUCAUUGAGGAAUAGCCAGGACCUAUAAAUUAGACCAAAAUCAAUUGGAGUGAAAGAAGAUGUUAACUAAGUCUUUGUCUGCUGUAACAAAUAAUGCCAAAACUGCCACUUUCAAUAUUGUAUUUGUAUAUUUUAAAUCUUUUUAUCGAUACGUGCUCAAUGAGGCAGCAGAAUUCCAAUUGAAUGCUACUUGUUAUCUUGUUAUGUGGAAAAUAGAAAACUCAAUUUUGUUGGUAUCAUCAUCGACCUUCUGCAUAUGUGUUAAUGUCAAGUCAACCGAUAACUAAAUUUCACUCUGUCAGCAGGCUGCUUGAAUAAGGUUUCUAGAGUUUAAACAAGGUGAUUGAAAACUUUUAAGAGAAAAUAUAGAUUUCACUCUUAUUAUUCUCAUUGGUUCAAAGGCUUAUUUAUACAAGAUUUUAAAUAACAUAAAGGAAAAUAAUCGAAAAUUGAAAAUGAGGAAUUCAUCUUUCAAAUUUAAUUUUAUUCUUGGUACUUUUCAUAUGUGUAUGAUAUAAUGGUCUUGAUUAUUGUCAUCUGUGCAUGUCUAAAUGGUCUUGAUUCUUUCUAUCUAUGCAUCACAUGAUUCUCUUGAUGCUUGCCAUGUGUGUAUAUUACUACGGUCCUUAUCGCUGUCACAUGUUCAUCACAUUAUGAUCUUGAUCCUUGCUGUAUAUGCAUCAUCUUUGUAUGAUUCUUAUCAAGUGAUGACAAGCACAAAACAUAUUAUUAAUGUAUUAGUCGACAAGACUCAAGUGAAAAAUGGAUCGUGUUAUAAUUACAUAUAGUCUUUGCCGUCUAUAUUCAACAAAUUAUUUCCUUGUAUAUUAGACUAUGUUAUACUGCGGUAAUGUAAGCUCUAAAAAUUCGAUAAUUAUGAUUUACUUUUAUACCAUAAUUAAAAGCAUCGUAUAUGUUCUUAACCAAACAAUUAUAUUUCAUGUUUUUAAUAAAACAACUACAGGAUAAAACUCUUUGCUAGGGACUUGACCAAAUGAUUUUCAAACGAUUUAAUUUCUUUAGUUGGCCAUCUAAAUUCAAAUCUUAGAAAGAGAGAAAGAGGGCUGGACACAUAGUUCAAUUUACACUGAACCAAACUAAAAUUUCAAAUUCAAUUCAGUUUUGUUUUCAAUAUGAUAACCAUUAAUUUUAAUUUAAGCCUAUUGUUAUUUAACAUCAACCAUCCCUUUAAAUUGUCCUACACGUUGUACACAAAUGAGGAUCGGACAUAGUAUUAUAAAUUAAGCUUUGCAAAACAGUAAACAUUGACAUUAUUGCUCAUGAAAUUUGCUCUCAUGCACCCAUGCAAGGUGGUGAUACAAAGUCUUAUGCACUAGUACAUAUAGUAGAAUUUAUUCCAGUAUAAAUAUUACCUCGAAUUCUGUUGGUGCAUGCAGUCGCUUUAGCUUAGUUAAUUAAUUAAAAUUAAUCUGGUAUUUAGGCUGCCUAUUUGGAUCAAAAAGUCCCCAAUGCCUCUCAAUCUCAGGUCCCAUUUUGCCAUUCUCAUCAAACAUAGCAAAUAUGUAAGUCUCAAUAGGCCUUCCAGGCCUCUUUGGUGACCCUCGCUUCACAUGUUGUAUCAAGUUAUUAUUAUAAGUCCUUGCAUUAUCAACAUUCGUCAACGCUCCGUCACCUCCAGCCGUCGGCCACCCACUCUCCGAUAUCACGAUGUCCAGAGACCCCCCGCCGGUUUUCUCCAGCGCGGCGUAAACAGCAUCCAAGAUGGCGUCAAAAAGACUCCGGUAACUUAACGAUCCGUCGGAAACGACCGUCUGUUGUGACCUAAAUAGUGCAUAAUCCAGAGAUAUUUGGGGGUUACCAGCAAUUGCGAAGUAAGGGUACAAGUUGACAAGCAAGGGGGAUCUGUUUUCGUUGAGGAAACGAAUGAGGGGAUCAAGAAUGGGUCUGUAAUCUUGCUUAAAUGAGCCUCUUGACGGAGGGAAAGAUUCGUCAAGAGCUCCAGUUUCGAUAACAGUGGAAACCUUGAUUUGGUUUCCAAGGCCGGCUCCGUUGAUGGCGUUUUGUAUGUUUCUCAUGGCGGGAACAAGGUACCGAGCGAAGUUAUCUCCAGGUUUUGCUUCAUUUCCUACAGCAAUGUAUUUAAACUUGACAUUGUUAGCAAAAUUUCGGACGUUGUUUUGGACCCAAGUGUUUGCUUCGGCUUGAUUGGAAGCGAUUCUUUGGAGGUCGUCGUUGGGAAGGCCCAGCAUGACUUCAAUGUUGGAGCCUCUGAGAGCUUCGAGUGCCUCUAUGUUUGGAUCAUAGAGUCUCAUUCUUCUGAUGUU